rnacentral:lncRNA from 1 species
CCGGUUAUGUCAUCAGCUUGCAGCUGUACAAGAGACUCCAUCAGCAUAAGGCACGUCCUUCUUACACCCAGAAGGUCUCCAUCCUUUUUCCCAUCCAACACCAGAUUAUCUCCAGAAUAGAAGUCCUCCAAGGAAUCCAACACCAGGACAUAUGGUUGCGAUGCUCCCUUGAGUGCACUCGGGAUUUCCUCACGAAUAGACGUCAAGUUCUUUCUGUUGUCUGAUAUGAACUUAUGAAGCCCUUUAACAUUCAUCUCCUCGCAGAGAAUGGCAAGUUCAGAACGAGGCUUCACAGCAGCAUUGCCAUCUUGCAAUCGUGCAUUUCCUUCGGGAGAAUGCUUCGGCCACUUCACAUCAAGAGUACCCACAGUAUAAUUACCCUGUGGCUUAUUCAUUGGGGUGAUAUAAUUAGUGUUUAGCGACAGCUUGGACUUGCCAAAGAUCAUAGCUAAUGCAGCAUCUCUUUUCUCUUGCAGCCUUUCCAGAGAAGUCAGCUCCUUAGCCACCACAACAGCCUCCUGCUGCUCCAGCAUCUUCUCCGAUUUUGCGACUGUCUCCUGGAACUCCUUCUCCUGCUUUUUCAGCUCAUCAAACUUUUUCUUGAGCGACUGCUCAAGGCCACGGAAAUGGUCCUCGAGUUGCUUCCACUUGAAGUUCAUGGUAACAGCACUCUGGCUCUCAAGUUCAGCAAAUGCUUGCUGAAGCUGCUGUAUCUUCAAGCUUGUGGACUCCAUAAGGGUAGCCACGGACUCCAUGUCAGACAUGGUGACAGACUCUGCAUGGGAGGCAACAACACAAUCAGUUAAUAUACUUCAUCCAAACGGCACACACAAUCGAAGCAACGGAGCUUAAAUUUCACAUGUUUCCAUCGAAUUGAAUCAAUUAUCUUACACGCGACCUUGUUAGCAAGGACAGCGAAACAAGGCUAGGCACCAAUUCGGCUUCUAGUGCUGUACCACAUACAAGAAAAGAGUACAAGGAAGCGGUAGCCGUCUUCCCUUCGGGCGGAGCAUGGAUGCCUCGUUGGGCCAGACAAUCAAGGGCUACCUACCCCCGCCGCUCUCGCACCAUGCAAUCGAGUAGAAAAUGGCACCCCAGACGUCUAGAUCUGAGACUAGGGAGAAGAAACUGGCCACUUACUUUAACCGAGGCGGGCAGGCGUUGGACGAGCUUGCCGUCGCUGCUCGCCCCCGCCCCCGCCUCGCCCCCCCCCCCCGCCCCCGCCUCCGCCUACGGCGGCUGGGGGAGGAGAUCGAGGGGGUGGAAGGCGGAUUGGGGAAGGGCUGGACGGGGGAGGAAAGGAGAGCAAACCCUAGGCGAGGUCGCGUGGAGUGUUGCUUUUUGGGGGAUGGGGAUGGAGACGAGGAGAACUAGGCGGUGGGAUGCGGAGGCGAGGGCAGCAACCAGUGCGCGGGGAAAGUCAUGGGGCCUAGCUGCUAGUGACUAGAGCAAGCGACCGGAGUAGCGUGGAGCCGUGGACUGUGCAGCAGUAUGUUGUUUUUGGGGGGGGGGGGGGGGGGGGGUGGGGGUGGGGGGGGUGGGGGGGGGGGGGGGGGGGGGGGGGGGCAAUUAUGGAAACGGGAGAAGUUUAUUAUAGAAGAAAAGAGAAAUAAAUUUUCACAGUUCAGUUACAACAAAAGAUUAGAUGGUGUUAGAUGGUGUUACGUCGUCGUUCAUGAGAACGAAACGUAGCUGAGUUGGCAAGACGUGAGAGUUCGCACCCAAAUCACCAAUGUUCGAGUCUCGACUCGAGCGUUUGGUGCUCAUGAAGUUUUCUUCUACAAAAAAUUACCAACAGGCUAGUCUAGUCCGGGUUGGUCAAGGUGCGGGAAUUCGCGGCCAGCCCAUCACUGUUCGAGUCUCGGCUCGAGCGCUCGGUGCUCAUAGAGUUUUCUUCUAUAAAAAAAUGCCAACAAGCUGGUCUAGUCCGGGUUGGUCUCGUUUAAAAGGAGAACGGAGUGUAGCUUGGUUGGCAAGGUGCGGAAGUUCGCAGCCAGCCCAUCAGUGUUCGAGUCUUGGCUCGAGCGCUCGGUGCUCACGGAGUUUUCUUCAAUAAAAAAUGUCAUCCGGCUAGUCUAGCCCGGGUUGGUCUCGUUCUUUUUUACGUCAUUGUCCACCUCGUAUGAACUAUUUGGAUUACUCGCCUUAUGUCCAUUCCAGCGCCGCCACAAAGAACGCAUCCAACUCACCACGUAUUAGUCCCGCGUGCAUCUAUAUCUUACUUUCACUCGCAAUCCGGAGUAGAACCCGCAACAGACAGGCCGUCGCUCCGUCUAAGACUAUGGCAUUCAUGUGUUUCCAUAGUUCCCAUAUGGCAAGGAGGCAUAAGGUACCUAUCGUUAUUGCUCAAUGCCCCCGCAUACCCUGCCUAGCACAACAGUGAGGCAGUGUCUCUCCCGCUCGUGGCGUACCGUGCGAAAUGCCUAGGGACGUGAAGCCCUUGGCCCAUACUUCCCGCACUAGAACGAACUCAAUGAGUAGAUGGUCAAUCGUAUCGUUGUUCUUAUCGCAGAAAGGGCACACGUCUUGGAGCGGCAACCCCCUUCGUGACAAUCUAUAUGAAGUCCAGCAUCAGUUCAUGAUCGCUAGCCAUGCGAAGAAUCUGCAUCGGAGCGGGGUCCGCAAGCGCCAUGUGAAUGCUGUGAUGGGUGAUACCUCCCGACCUGCAAACUUGGUCACAUAGGCCGACUUGGCAAAAAAUUGCAUCCUUCUCCCAGGACCAGGUGAUACGAUCACUGGACCGAUCGUCCAGCUGGACCAUCGCGGCCAUAGGCCAGAUGCCGAUGUACUCCUCUAGGACUUCCGCGCCCAUGGUUGGCCCAAUAUAUGUGGCCCAUCGUCCCUCGGCAAUGGCCUCAUAAACCGUUCUUGACCUCCUCGUUCUAGCCGGAAUCUGCUCAUAUAGCCAUGGCACAAGCUCGUGCAUCUGGUAGCCGUUGAGCCAUCGAUCCUCCUAGAAUAGUGUGUCUCCUCAUCACCAAUGACUGCUCGAGUCAUCGUCUGAAAUAGCUACAUGUACUCCUUUGGCACAUAGAACGUGAACUCCGACCAGGGCCUAUUUUUAUCCGCCCAUUGCAACUAUAACCACUUGGUCUGUGUAACGACUAAGAUGCGGUCCUUUCCGGUUUAGGGGAACGAGGACCCAAAGAGGAAAGAAGCACAUCUAAGCGUUUUGCAAGCACGAUAACAUAGCGCAAACAUAAUAAUAGAAUGACAAAUAAGGAUUCAACUUCCAUCUCAUAAAUAAUCUGAGAGUUACAUCACGCAUCCACACAAGGUAGUUCCGCUACGGACUACAAAACAUGAGAAAUGGCUAUGCUACCCUGCAUGCUUGCCCACGAUCACGACCACGCCUCAGUCUUCUGGAUAGUUCACGUAGAGGCGGUCGUUCUGCUCAUCGUACUGCCACGCCAGCUGCGAGCCGUCGGGAUCACCUGUCUGGGGGGUACAUGUACCUGUUGGUGCGUUGAAGUAAUCUGUGAGCCACAGGGACUCAGCAAUCUAUGACCUCGGUGCCAGAAGUAGUCAAGUUAUUAGGUAAGGAAGGUUCAGUGUUUAGGUUGCCGCAUCCUAAGCAUUAUGGUGGCUAACUUACGUAGAACAUGUAUUGGAGGUGGUCUAUACUAGCGAUCGAUGAUUAGCUGAUCACUAAGUGAUCCUGAACACCUACUUACGUCAAUCAUAACCCCACCGUGUUCCCGAUCAAAGAGAGGUCUUCGAAGGGGACAGUCACGGUUACGCACACAGUUGGCAAUUUUAUUAGAUUAGGUUCAAGUUAUCUAUAACCGGAUGUUAACAAAUAUUCCAAGUUGCCACAUAACCGCGGGCACGACUUUCCAAAAGAUUAAACCCUCCAGGGGUGCUCCAACUAGUCCAUUACAAAGGGUCACGGGCCGCAAAGUAAUCCUCUAUCACGAAUCUUGUGAUAUCGUCGGAUUCCUUAGAGGAAAACCUCAACUCUGGGGAGAACCAAAGCUUCACUAGGAUUCCUAUACGCAAGAUAUAUCGCUACGUAAGACAAGACUAGCAGGACCUCCCAUCGUGUCGACGACCCCGAUAAGAGCCACGUAUCUCAGUCUCAGGACACGACGGAUGGAACUAGCUACGAGAACCAAACCUCAAGUUUCCUUGUGGUGACCCCGCAGGCAGACCAGGUUGGACCAACACUCAUGAGGAGCACUGGCCCGGGUUGUUGAUUAAAGAUCCUCGGGGUGAUCAUUCCCUAUGCAGAUUAUUAUUAAGUGAUUAUCAAAUUAACACCAAUGUUGGGUCCUGCCGGACAAGUCUUAACACUACGCGAUUUAUCAAGGGGGUCCCCAUAACAACCCCGAACGUGUUAGGAGCGAUCGGUUAUGGAAUCAAACACCGGUAGCCGGUAACUAUGGCGGCAAUAACGGAACAAAACACCAGGCAAAGGCUAGGCCUUCCGUUAUUUACCAAGUAUAUAGGUGCAUUAAUUAAAUAACAGAUUUAAACAUAAUGAUAUCAACUCAUGUUAUCACAUGAGACAAAGCACCUGCAACUAGCAAUGCUAACAUUAGAAGCUUAGCAAAGCCUACCUAGCCAUUCAAUGUUUGCUAGGAGGGGAAAAGUGUUAGGGUUUCCAUGGCAAUAUUAGGAGGCAAUUAUUUCAGUGGUAGGCAGCGAGCAUAUGAUGAAAGAAACAUAAUCUAGCAUAACAGGUCUAGAGAUGGAAUCAAUGUCAUAUCAUCUUGCAUGUGAUGUCCUCAGCUUGGAACUGCUCUUGUUCAUCCUACACGUACUCUCCCGGAUCCACGUACUCGUUCUCCGAUCUCGGUGCUACCCAACAUAAAAAUAGCAUCCAAUGAACAACAACACACAAGAUGCAACAAGCACAUGAUGCAUGAGAUGAAAAUGAACAUGCAUCUCUAUACUAGCUACUAGCUCAAGCAUGAGAAGGAAAUAUAAGCUACUGGACAGAACUGCACUCUAAGCUAUCUUGACAUGCAUGAGAAUGUCAUGAACAGAUGCGUCACGCGAAAUGAUGCAAAACCAUAUAAAGAACGUUACAAACGGAGCUAUGGAUCAACGGGAAACAACGAAACAAGAAAUGAAGUCCUACGUAUCAAAUCCAACACAACACUCUCCAAUGGCAUACUUCUGGUAUUCCCAGGUUGCCAUAUCACAAAUCAAACAAGUAUGGAUGGGGUGGUGCAAGGAAUAUCACCACACCAUCAACUAUACACUCACAAGCAUCAAAACAUCAAAACUAUACAAUCUGCCAUAAACAGCAUCAUAGCAGUUUGAGAGCUACAUGCAAAGCACCUACAACCACCCAAUUAUGUCAAAUAGGAUAUGUGGAAGAAGCUAUUCAAAAGUACUACAAGCAUGAGCAAAAAGAUAAUACAAAGUAGUUUCACACAGAAAGAUCUACAGCUACUAACUUGGACAAAAAUAUCAGUUUUCAGGGACUUAGUGAAAAUUCCAGAUUCUCACUAGUUGUUUAUGCUCUGAAGCAUUUUGACAGCACCCAAAACAAUAUCUACAGGAUUCCAAAUGGAAUGAAAAUUUACAGAGAGCUAUACAAACACAAAAGCUACAACUUUCCAGUUGAUAGCGAAGGCUGAUUCCCAACACAUGGACCUCUACAAGCCCAACAAUAGGAGAAGAAAAUAUAAGCAGAUUCUCAGACUUAGUGAAAAUCACAGAUUUUCACUAAACUGGAAUUUCAGCCACAUGCCUACUUUGACUAGGCACAACUUGCACAUAUGAACUCCUAAGCAUGAAACAAAACCAACAUGUUAUAGAGGGGAUCGUCCUCUAGUUCCACAACAAGGAAUCAACCUCUUGGGCCCAUCACAUCACAUGAAACCAAGCUCUAAACAUGGAACAAAACUGAAAUAUGACAUACCCAGAAAGUGUUCCAAAGGCAAAGCUGACUCCACCAAUGGAUUCCUGGGAUGUUUCUACCCCAAAAACAUAUAUAAUACAUAGGCACUUGCAUAGAACAAUUGGGCACAAACUUGAAAAGUAAACCUACAUGGAAUCACAUAGAGUGAAUAGUGCAUCAUCACAUGUGCUUCCACUAGCUCAUCACUUAUGCAUGCUCUUGCACAUGUCCACAACACCAAUGGUGCACAUGAGGGGUAUACCUCAUGCUCAUGUGCCUUAGCACACCACCACACACCACAUACAUCAAGCACCACAAAUGACAACAUUUACACAUGCUAGUUAUCACCACACCUUAACUUACACUCACAAAUGCAUACCUACACCUACACAUACAACUUGCACAUGUGCUCUUCAAGGCACAUCAUGCCCUUGGCAUGUGUGAAACACACACACACACACAAGCACACACAACAUCAUACACACAUAUUAGAGCCACUACUACUACACCACAAAGCAUGUGGGGAGGGGGUGAACCCUCACACACACACAAGAUCACACAUAAACACAUGCUAGUGCAUCAGCCCCACCUCAUGCACAUAAGCUUCACCACCUUAGUGCCAUACACCCACAAGAUACACACACAUACAUGAUUCUUACACCUACAAAUAUGCACUCAACCUACACAUGUUUUUCUACCAAGAUAUAUCUACACAAGCACUCUACAUAUGCUAGCAAAAAGAUAGGCACACCUACUGUAGAGAGGAAAUAAAACACCACACAAGGUCACCUAGUACACCACAGCACAACCUAGCAAUCAAAAGAAAUCAGCCAAGGAAAUAGCAAAGGAAAAAAGGAAUGGGGGGAUUCGAACCCAGGACCUCCUGGUUCCCCAACAGCAACCACACCACCCUGCUACUGCACAUGUGCUCGACACAAGAGAGAGGUGAAACAGGUUAAGCACUGCCUGUUGCUGCUGAUGCUACUGUGCCAAAAUAACAAAACAAAAGGUGGGGUGCGCCGAGGGGAUUCGAUCCCACGACCUGCCACUGCACCCAAGAGACACUCACCACUCUGCUACUGUGUCGGAACUUAACAGAGGAGGGGAGUAAUCUCUCUUGAGCACCCCCUCGUGCCUAUCCUGUGCCAGACGAUGGCCGGAAUAGGGGAAGGUGCUCGCCAAUGUUACACGUUAAAUUAAGCUAUGACUAGUAGAUGGAAGGAAGCACAGGCUCCCACGGUUCCAUUUCACUAACUAGCACUACUCGAGAGGGCCUACAGCAACGAAUCCUCGUUGCGCGGCGGUACCGGCGACAGAAGGGGAAACACGGCGAGGCUACGGCUCCUAGCGCUAGAUCUGGUGACAGGGAAGAUAGGGGACGGUUCUCGCUCACCCACUGGACGAUGUGGUCGCGUCGGCCGGAGAGGAUGUAGAGGAAGAAGGGGAAGAAGCCGCUCGAGGAAGAACGUCGGGGAGGAAGGCCGCCGUCGUUGAGGUAGUGGUAGCAGGGCCGAUGUCGUCGAAAUAGCUGCGGGAAUGGACUCCUGGAAGAUCCCGCGUGCUCGCCGAGGUGUUGGAGAGGCCGCAUGUGUACGGGCGCGAUGGCGAGGACCUCCUCAGCUCGCGGCCAUGGCGGAGGAACCCGAUCUCCUUACCUGAUGUCGACGCAGAGAGGGAGAAGGAGAUGGGAAGAAGGUGGCGGCGCAAGGGGAGGAACCCUAGGCUGCACGGACGCCAAGGGGGGCUUAUAUGGAGGAGGAGAGGUGAGGGACGCGCCUCGACGUCCGUGACGGCGUUUGCAGCUACCGCGCUCUCUCUGUCUCUCUGAAGAAACCUGACGGAGGAGGGGGAAAGGGAGAAGGCGUCUACACGCACGGGCUGCGCGCGAGAGGCUGGUAGCUGGGCUUGCUAGUGGGAGGAGGCCCACUAGUUGGCGCCAGAUAGAAGAAAAAAUAAAACCCCUGGGUUAUCUAAUUACAAAAUAACCAGAGAAAGAAAAUAAAGCAAAGGCAAAUCUGUUAAGACUAAAAACAAAACAAAAUUGCCCCUCGUCAUAAGGAAUUAUGACCUAUUUAAAUAAAUUGUAAAAGAAAUAUUUUGAGCAAUUAAAUAUUUACAAAACAGAAUUUAUUGGACCUGUUUUUGUGUAUAUUUGCACCUUUAAAACAUAUUUUCAAAGCAGCAAAUUCACAUCCUCACAAUCACCACAAUACAUACUAAAACAUGGACACUUUUGAAAUAGAGAAGGAGCAAAAGAAUCUUGGCUUGAGAUAAAAGAGAGGGGAGAAGUUUAUAAGACCUAGAGCAAACCACAUGCUUCCUACUAACACAUACUCCACUCCACAUCAUUACCCAUAUCCAACAUCACAUGGUCACAUCAUGACACCACAACAUGGAACACAAGAACAACAAUACAAAGGCAUGGAUGAAUGGGAUGGAAUGGAUGCAUGCAUGCAAAAGAAAACAAAACAAGGGAAGCAUCACAUGAAAUACACAUGCAUAUAAUCUCAUGUCAAUGACAAGUUGGACCCACAUAGAGAAGGUUCCAAUAAAGGCAAGUUACACUCUUGGGGCAUUACAAACUUUCCCACACUACAAAAAGAUCUCGCCCCGAGAUCUAAGACUGAAAGAACUCCAGAAAUUCAGAAUGGAGGUUAUCCUCGCGUUCCCAAGUAGCCUCUUUAUCGGAAUGGUGUGACCACUGCAUUUUGAGAAAUUUGACAGUCUUGUUGCGGGUCUUGCUCUCAGUCGCCUCGAGAACCGCAACUGGAUGAUCACGAUAGGAUAGGUCGGGUUGAAGGUCGAUGUCUUGAAGAUGAACAGUGCGUUCGGGAGUCUUGAAGCAUCUCUGGAGCUGAGAGACAUGGAGCACGUCAUGCACAUUUGCAAAGUUUGACGGGAUCUCGAGCUGGUACGCAAGGUCGCCUCUCUUGCCAACAACUCUGAACGGACCAACAAAACGAGGCGCAAGCUUGCCUUUGAUGCCAAAGCGUUGUGUACCCUUUAUAGGGGACACCUUGAGAUAGACGAACUCAUCGAGCUCAUAAGACAUGUCAUGAUGCUUGCUAUCAUAAUAGCUCUUCUGACGGGACUGAGCUGCUCUGAGAUUAUCUCGAAUGACCGGACACAUCUCUUCAGCUUCUUCUAUCAAGUCAUUCCCAAGAAUCUGACACUCGCCGGUCUCGGACCAGUUGAGCGGGGUACGACACUUCCUGCCAUAGAGAAUUUCAAACGGAGCUUUGCCUGAACUAGCUUGAUAACUGUUGUUAUACGAGAACUCAGGGAAAGGCAGGAAAUCUUCCCACUUCAUGCCAAAAGAGAUAACACAGGCUCUCAGCAUAUCCUCAAAAACCUGAUUGACUCGCUCCACUUGACCACUAGUCAGAGGAUGAAAAGCUGUGCUGAAGCGUAUCUUCGUGCCCAUCGCAGACUGAAAAGAAUCCUAGAACUUGGAAGUGAAGAUACUUCCGCGAUCCGAAGAAAUCAUCAUAGGCAUGCCGUGCAAAGACACUAUCCUGGAAGUGUACAGCUCUGCAAGGUGAGCUGCCGAAAUGGAUUCCUUGACUCGAAGAAAAUGAGCCACUUUACUCAACUUGUCGAUGACGACGAAGAUGGCAUCACUACCCUUCUUGCACUUCGGAAACCCGGUGACGAAAUCCAUCUCAAUAUGAUCGAACUUCCACUCGGGAAUGGGCAAUGGAUGCAAAAGACCUGCUGGACGUUGAUGCUCUGCUUUCACCCUUUGACAUACAUCACAUUCAUUUACGAACUGAGCAAUCUCACGCUUCACGUGAGUCCACCAGAAGGUUUGUUUCAAGUCCUGAUACAUCUUGGAGCUUCCAGGAUGUAUUGAGAGCAAGGAGUUAUGAGCUUCUUCCAUGAUUACCUUUCUGAGAUCACCUUUCGGAAUGACAAGAUGAUCCUCAAAGAACAACGUGUCUCUGGCAUCAACAGUGAAGGACUUAUAUUUGGGAAGACCCUUUGCCACACCAAUCUUGACUUUCUUCACCAUUGCAUCAAGAAGUUGUGCUGCUCGGACCUAAUCUUCCAAGGUAGGAGAGAUCUGAAGAUUAGCAAGAAAUCCCUGAGGUACUAACUGAAGGUUGAGCUUCCUGAAAGACUCACAAAGGUCAGGCCGGAGAGGCUUCAGAAUGAGUCUGUUGCAGUAAGCCUUCCUGCUCAAAGCAUCUGCCACGACAUUAGCUUUGCCUGACGUGUACUCAACACUCGGAUUAAAAUCUUGGAGCAUUUCCACCCAACGAGUUUGCCGGAGAUUCAGGUUAGGCUGGAUGAAGAUGUACUUGAGACUCUUGUGAUCAGUGAACACUUCAACCUUACGUUCCAACAAGAGGUGUCUCCAAGUCAUCAGAGCGUGUACCACAGCUGCUAGCUCAAGAUCAUGCACAGGAUAAUUCUUCUCCGUUGGCUUCAACUGCCUGGAGGUAUAAGCAACCACCUUCUUCUCUUGCAUCAGAACUGCACCAAGACCUUGAAGAGAGGCGUCGCAGAACACUUGGUAAGGCUUGGAAUCAUCAGGAGGAACCAAGACUGGAGUAGAGGUAAGCUUCUCUUUGAGUGUGUCGAAGGCCAACUGACACUCUGGAGACCAAGCAUACUUCAAACCUUUCUGAAGAAGAUUUGAGAGCGGCUUAGAAAUCUUGGAGAAGUUCUCAACGAACCUUCUGCAAUAUCUUGCAAGCCCGAGAAAGCUUCGGAGCUGCUUCACAUUCUGCGAAGGCUCCCAUUCAACAAUGGCCUGCACCUUCGACGGAUCAACUUUGAUACCCUCGCCAGAGAUGAUGUGCCCAAGAUAGACGACUUCUUUCAACCAGAACUCACACUUGGAAAACUUGGCAUACAAUUUGUACUCUCUCAGCUUAUCAAGCACCAAUAUGAGAUGUUCUUCAUGUUCUUCCUUAGUCUCUGAAAAGACCAGAAUAUCAUCGAGAUAAAGCAAGACGAAGUCAUUCUUGAACGGAGAGAAUAUGUAGUUCAUCAAUCGACAAAAUGUCGGAGGAGCAUUUGCCAGACCAAAAGACAUGACCGUAUACUCAUACGAGCCAAAACUAGUCCUGAAAGCAGUCUUCGGAAUAUCCUCUUCGCGAAUGCGAAUUUGAUGAUAGCCCAUUCUGAGAUCGAGCUUGGAGAAGACCUUAGCCCCUUUCAACUGCUCAAACAACUCAUUUAUGUUCGGAAGUGGAUACUUGUUCCUGAUUGUCUUCUUGUUCAAUGGACGGUAAUCGACACACAACCGGUCCGUGUCAUCCUUCUUCUUGAAAAACAGAACUCCAGAGCCCCCACGGAGACGAGCUCGGUCUGAUCAAACCCAAACGCUCCUGCUCAUCGAAUUGCCUCUUAAGUUCCUUCAACUCUUCUGGACCCAAUUUGUACGGCCGUUUGCACACAGGCUCAGUACCUGGUUCAAGCUCAAUGACAAAUUCAACUUCUCGGUGCGGACGCAUUCCUGGCAGCUCUUCUGGAAACACAUCUUCAUAUUCGCAGACCACUAGGACUUGCGAAAUAGGAUUAACCUCACCCUUUUCAUUCAAAGAGAACAAACGGAUUGUAUCAUCGCGCGCCGCGAAUAUAAUCACGUCCUCCGAAGAGUGAGUAAGCUUCACUUCUUUAGCUUCACAAUCAAUCGAUGCCUUGUUCAUGGCCAACCAGUCCAUACCAAGGAUCAAAUCAAUGUCGGAAUUGCCCAAGACAAUAGGAGACGCCAGAAAAGAAUAACUCCCUAUCUUGACAGAAGCACCCGGAACGAAUAACUGAGAGCUCAUACGCAUACCCGGAGACACAACUUGCAAUGACUUGGGUAAAAACUCGGUCGCAAUAUUAUUACCAGAUGCAAAGGGAUAGGACAUGAAAGAAUGCGAUGCGCCAGAAUCGAACAACACUUUAGCAGGAAUAUCAUUGACGAGGAGAUUACCCAAGAUCACAUGUGACGAGUUUUCUGCCUCAGCUGCAUUCACCAUGUUGACUCGAGCAGACCUGGGGUUGAACUUCACGAGAGCAUUGCUUGGAGGUUUGCCUGGAGGAGGGGGCGACAGGCGGAGCUGAGAAGUGCACUUGUUGGCAUAGUGACCCUCGUGCCCACACUUGUGACAAGUAAGAUCUGCUGGCUGACGAUACUGUGUCUGAGGAGGCCCUUGCUUCUGCUGCUGGAAUCAAUGCUGGAAAGCUGGGUUGGGUGGGUGGGAAGAACCACGGCCACCAGAAUGCUUGAACUGCUGCGUGUGCCGAGGAGGAGGAGGAGACACCCAAAACUUCUCUUGCUUCUGAACCACCUGAGUAGAAGACGAGCUUGAAUCUUUGAAGCGCUUCUUAGAAUUCUCCACCCUGAGCAAAGCUGCCUCAACCGUGAGAGCUAAGUUGUAGAACUUAUCGAACUCCUCAGGAUCGUGCAAAGAAAGAGCUAACUGUAAAUCUUCUUUCAAGCCACCUCUGAACUGAUAAAUCUUGCUCUUCUGAUCAGGGAUAUCAUGCAAGGCGUAACGGGCUAGCUCGUGGAACUCGACGUUGUACUUGUACACGGAGUUACCACCUUGCUUCAAGCGCGUGAACUUCUCACGUAUUUCCUCCACGAACCUGGACGAGAUGUAGUGAGAUCUGAAGUCACGACAGGACUCAUCCCAAGUGAUCACUCUAGCACCCCUGGAAUCCUUCAACUCUUGCCACCAGAUAGAUGCUUGCCCCUUCAGCUGGAAUGUUGCAAACUUGACGAAAUCCUCAGGACGAACAUUGUUGCAUUCAAAGUGCUUGUUCAUGUCACAGAUCCAAUCCUCGGCAUCAAACGGCUGGUCAUAGGAAGUGAAUGUCUUCGGCUGAUUUGAUAGGAACUGACUCAGAUUAGCAAACUAAUUGCCACCAUGCUGGAAAUUGCCUUGCUGCUGAUUAGUCCUCUUUUGCAACAAUUGUAUCAGCAUCUGAGUGUUUGCAUUUGUAGCAGCCAUCACCGCUUGCCAAGCCUCUGCAGGAGGAGGCGGCAGCGGAGGAGGAUUCUCCGGAGGAGGAGGUGGUGGCAGCAGAUUCUCACGUCCUUGAUUCUGACGAGUUGGUGGAGCCAUCCUGAAGACGGACAACACAUUAGCCCACAGAAUAAAUUGAAGGUAUAGCUGAAUCAAAAAGGCAGGAAUAUCUGAACAGGAACAUAGCAAUUGCACUCGAACAAAAUAGUAAGAAUGCUUCCUCAAAGUGACGGUCGACAAAAUUCUGAUUAAGACCACUGCAAACAAGUAUGAGCUAGAACUGCUCAAAACAAACAUAUGAUCGAGAUUUCAUCCGAUAUCUUCGUGGAUAAGAUCGCACGGGCUCGAAUUUAUAGUAGCCAUCCUGUGCAAGGUAGUGCACAUGACUUACGAAGUAUCCCCGAGUCGUAGUGAUCUACAAGGACUCUUUAAGACACAACAAGAACCGCUGUAAGACGACCGUGAACAAACAUACCCCACUGAAUAUCAAAUCCCAACCUCACAUCAUGCAUCUGUAGGAAGAUUGUCCUAUAAGUUACUACUUGAUAUCCCACCUAUGAAUUCCCGAAAUAUCUGGUCAUGCAAUCUGGUACACGGAUACAAGGAGUAAUAUUCACACAACUCCUAUACUAACCCAUCCACUGUAUCACAUCCGUCAACACAUAACCAGAAUCUCGGACCUUCAUCUACAACAGACCCUCAUGAUCACAACGAUACAAAGUAUGGCAGUACUCCCGAACAAUCUGCACCAGUACUAGGAACAUCGGGGUUAUCUCGCCACUACUAGUAUUGAAGCAAUUACGAACAUCCUUCGUUCUGAGAUACUCAGAAAUCUGAAUGAUGGCUAUGUGCGCAAGAAUCCCGUGGAGCUCAACUCCCUGGAAGAAAUCAAGGCAGACAGGAGGCACCAAGACACAACUCCGUCACAUCGAAAUCAUAUAGAUUUUACAAAUACCCGCCUGAUCCUAAUUUUUUUUGAGCGAGAAGAGGAGUAGAAUUAAGAUUUCCUAAGUCGGGAACCUCACCAGAGCAUGGAAGAGGAGAAAAAAGAAUCCUACUCUCCGAUAUAACUAAGACUCAAAACAUUCUACUAGACUCGACUCGGCCAAGUACGAUCACACAAAGGCUCCUAUGGUCGUAAGGCUCUGAUUACCAACUUGUAACGACUAAGAUGCGGUCCUUUCCGGCUUAGGGGAACGAGGCCCCAAAGAGGAAAGAAGCGCAUCUAAGCGUUUUGCAAGCACGGUAACAUAGCGUAAACAUAAUAAUAGAAUGACAAAUAGGGAUUCAACUGCCAUAUCAUAAAUAAUCUCAGAGUUACAUCACGCAUCCAAACAAGGUAGUUCCGCUACGGACUACAAAACAUGAGAAAUGGCUAUGCUACCCUGCAUGCUUGCCCACGAUCACGACCACGCCUCAGUCUUCUGGAUAGUUCACGUAGAGGCGGUCGUUCUGCUCAUCGUACUGCCACGCCAGCUGCGAGCCGUCGGGAUCACCUGUCUGGGGGGUACAUGUACCUGUUGGUGUGUUGAAGUAAUCUGUGAGCCACAGGGACUCAGCAAUCUAUGACCUCGGUGCCAGAAGUAGUCAAGUUAUUAGGUAAGGAAGGUUCAGUGUUUAGGUUGCCGCAUCCUAAGCAUUAUGGUGGCUAACUUACGUAGAACAUGUAUUGGAGGUGGUCUAUACUAGCGAUCGAUGAUUAGCUGAUCACUAAGUGAUCCUGAACACCUACUUACGUCAAUCAUAACCCCACCGUGUUCCCGAUCAAAGAGAGGUCUUCGAAGGGGACAGUCACGGUUACGCACACAGUUGGCAAUUUUAUUAGAUUAGGUUCAAGUUAUCUAUAACCGGAUGUUAACAAAUAUUCCAAGUUGCCACAUAACCGCGGGCACGACUUUCCAAAAGAUUAAACCCUCCAGGGGUGCUCCAACUAGUCCAUUACAAAGGGUCACGGGCCGCAAAGUAAUCCUCUAUCACGAAUCUUGUGAUAUCGUCGGAUUCCUUAGAGGAAAACCUCAACUCUGGGGAGAACCAAAGCUUCACUAGGAUUCCUAUACGCAAGAUAUAUCGCUACGUAAGACAAGACUAGCAGGACCUCCCAUCGUGUCGACGACCCCGAUAAGAGCCACGUAUCUCAGUCUCAGGACACGACGGAUGGAACUAGCUACGAGAACCAAACCUCAAGUUUCCUUGUGGUGACCCCGCAGGCAGACCAGGUUGGACCAACACUCAUGAGGAGCACUGUCCCGGGUUGUUGAUUAAAGAUCCUUGGGGUGAUCAUUCCCUAUGCAGAUUAUUAUUAAGUGGUUGGCAAAUUAACACCAAUGUUGGGUCCUGCCGGACAAGUCUUAACUCUACGCGAUUUAUCAAGGGGGUCCCCAUAACAACCCCGAACGUGUUAGGAGCGAUCAGUUAUGGAAUCAAACACCGGUAGCCGGUAACUAUGGCGGCAAUAACGGAACAAAACACCCGGCAAAGGCUAGGCCUUCUGUUAUUUACCAAGUAUAUAGGUGCAUUAAUUAAAUAACAGAUUGAACAUAAUGAUAUCAACUCAUGUUAUCACAUGAGAUAAAGCACCUGCAACUAGCAACACUAACAUUAGAAGCUUAGCAAAGCCUACCUAGCCAUUCAAUGUUUGCUAGGAGGGGAAACGUGUUAGGGUUUCCAUGGCAAUAUCUGGAGGCAAUUAUUUCAGUGGUAGGCAGUGAGCAUAUGACGAGAGAAACGUAAUUUAGCAUAACAAGUCUAGAGAUGGAAUCAAGGUCAUAUCAUCUUGCAUGUGAUGUCCUCAGCUUGGAACUCCUCUUGUUCGUCCUGCACGUACUCUCCCGGAUCCACGUACUCGUUCUCUGAUCCCGGUGCUACCCAACAUAAAAAUAGCAUCCAAUGAACAACAGCACACAAGAUGCAACAAGCACAUGAUGCAUGAGAUGAAAAUGAACAUGCAUCUCUAUACUAGCUACUAGCUCAAGCAUGAGAAGGAAAUACAAGCUACUGGACAGAACUGCACUCUAAGCUAUCUUGACAUGCAUGAGAAUGUCAUGAACAGACGCGUCAGACGAAAACGAUGCAAAACCAUAUAAAGAACGUUACAAACAGAGCUACGGAUCAACGGGAAACAACGAAACAAGAAAUGAAGUCCUACGUAUCAAAUCCAACACAACACCCCCCAAUGGCAUACUUCUGGUAUUCCCAGGUUGCCAUAUCACAAAACAAACAAGUAUGUAUGGGUUGGUGCAAGGAAUAUCACCACACCAUCAACUAUACACUCACAAGCAUCAAAAGAUCAAAACUAUACAAUCUGCCAUAAACAACAUCAUAGCAAUUUGAGAGCUACAUGCAAAGCACCUACAGCCACCCAAUUAUGACAAAUAGGAUAUGUGGCAGAAGCUAUUCAAAAGUACUACAAGCAUGAGCAAAAGUAUAAUACAAAGUAGUUUCACACAGAAAUAUCUACAACUGCUAACUUGGACAAUUAUAUCAGUUUUCAGGGACUUAGUGAAAAUUCCAUAUUCUCACUAGCUGUUUAUGCCCUGAAGCAUUUUAACAGCACCCAAAACAAUAUCUACAGGAUUCCAAAUGGAAUGAACAUUGACAGUGAUCUAGACAAACACAAAAUCUACAACUUUCUAGUUGAUAGCAAAGGCUGAUUCCCACAAGCCCAACAACAAGAGAAGAAAAUAUUAGCAGAUUCUCAGACUUAGUGAAAAUCACAGAUUUUCACUAAACCGGAAGUUCAGCCACAUGCCUAGUUUGACUAGGCACAACUUGCACAUAUGAACUCCUAAGCAUGAAACAAAACCAACAUGUUAUAGAGGGGAUCGCCCUCUACUUCCACAACAAAGAAUCAACCUCUUGAGCCCAUCACAUCACAUGGAACCAAGCUCUAAACAUGGAACAAAACUGAAAUAUGACAUACCCAAAAAGAUAGGCACACCUACUAUAGAGAGGAAAUAAAACACCACACAAGGUCACCUAGUACACCACAACACUUCCUAGCAAUCAAAAGAAAUCAGCCAAGGAAAUAGCAAAGGAAAAAAAUUAAAAAGGAAUGGGGGGAUUCAAACCCAGGACCUCCUGGUUCCCCAACAACAACAACACCACCCUGCUAUUGCACAUAUGCUCGACAGAAGAGAGAGGUGAAACAGGUUAAGCACUGCGUGCUGCUGCUGAUGCUACUGUGCCAAAAUAACAAAACAAAAGGUGGGGUGCGCCGAGGGGAUUCGAUCCCACGCCCUGCCACUUCACCUAAGAGACACUCACCACCCUGCUACUGCGUCGGAACUUAACAGAGGAGGGGAGUAAUCUCUCUUGAGCACCCCCUCGUGCCUAUCCUCUACCCGACGGUGGCCGGAACAGGGGAAGGUGCUCGCCGAUGUUACACGUUAAAUUAAGCCACGACUAGUCGAUGGAAAGAAGCAGAGGCUCCCACGGUUCCAUUUCACUAACUAGCACUACUCGAGAGGGCCUACAACAACGGCUCCUCGUUGCGCGGCGGCGCCUGCGACAGAAGGGGAAACAUGACGAGGCUACGGCUCCUAGCGCUAGAUCUGGUGAUAGGGAAGAGAGGGGAAGGUUCUCGCUCACCCACUGGACGAGGUGGUCGCGUCGACCGGAGAGGAUGUAGAGGAAGAAGGGGAAGAAGACGCUCGGGGAAGAACGUCGGGGAAGAGGGCCGCUGUCGUUGAGGUAGUGGUAGCAGGGCCGAUCUCAUCGAAGUAGCUGCGGCAAUGGACUCGUGGAAUAUCCCGCGUGCUCGCCGAGGUGUUGGAGAGGCCGCAGGUGUAUGGGCGCGACGACGAGGACCUCCUCAGCUCGCGGCCAUGGCGGAGGAACCCGAUCCCCUUACUUGAUGUCGACGCAGAGAGGGAGAAGGAGAUGGGAAGAAGGUGGCGGCGCAAGGGGAGGAACCCUAGGCUGCACGGACGCCAAUGGGGGAUUAUAUGGAGGAGGAGAGGCAAGGGACGCGCCUCAACAUCCGUGACGGCGUCUGCAGCUGCCGCGCUCUCUCUGUCUCUCUGAAGAAACCUGACGGAGGAGGGGGAAAGGGAGAAGGCGUCUACAGGCACGGGCUGCGCGCGAGAGGCAGGUAGCUGGGCCUGCUAGUGGGAGGAGGCCCACUAGUUGGAGCGAGAUAGAAGAAAAAUAAAACCCCUGGGUUAUCUAAUUACAAAAUAACCAGAGAAAGAAAAUAAAGCAAAGGCAAAUCUAUUAAGACUAAAAACAAAACAAAAAUGCCCCUGGUCAUAAAUAAUUAUGACAUAUUUAAAUAAAUUGGAAAAGAAAUAUUUUGAGCAAUUAAAUAUUUACAAAACAGAAUUUAUUGGACCUGUUUUUGUGUAUAUUUGCACCUUUAAAACAUAUUUUCAAAGCAGCAAAUUCACAUCCUCACGAUCACCACAAUACAUACUAAAACAUGGACACUUUUGAAAUAGAGAAGGAGCAAAAGAAUCUUGGCUUGAGAUAAAAGAGAGGGGAGAAGUUUAUAAGACCUAGAGCAAACCACAUGCUUCCUACUAACACAUACUCCACUCCACAUCAUUACCCAUAUCCAACAUCACAUGGUCACAUCAUGACACCACAACAUGGAACACAAGAACAACAAUACAAAGGCAUGGAUGAAUGGGAUGGAAUGGAUGCAUGCAUGCAAAAGAAAACAAAACAAGGGAAGCAUCACAUGAAAUAACACAUGCAUAUAGUCUCAUGUCAAUGACAAGUUGGACCCACAUAGAGAAGGUUCCAAUAAAGGCAAGUUACACUCUUGGGGCAUUACAGUCUGAAGGGCCACAUUCAUCCACCUCGUGUCCAGGAUACCUAGGCCUCUGGCCCACUUGGGUGUACACACUCUCUCCCAGGCCACGGCACAAGCACCGCCUCUCGAGUCCGCCUUGCCGGCCCAUAGGAACCCGUGGCAUAUCUUGAUAAUGGCAUCCAAAGUCUUUGGAGUUAGAUCUAGAGCUAGCAUUGAGUGACUCAGAAUUGCACAAAGGACCAAUUGCACCAACAAUACUCAAUUGCUCUUCGGAAUGGUCGCCGCCUUCCAUUGGGGUAGGCAAACUCCGAGCUGGUCCAUGAGGCCCUGAAUCUGUGCCGACACAUCCUUUCUGAUGGAUAGUGGCAUGCCUAGAUACUUACACGGGAAGGUAGUGCUCGAGCAUCUGAAGGUGUCGCACACUAGGUCAACCUAAUCCUGGGAGUAGCGAAUUAUAUGUCGCUCUCUCUGACAUAUUGACUUGGAGUUCUGAAGCCUGCCCAAAGAUGCGUAGAAUAGAAUCGCAUGCGACCAAAUCUGUCCUCUUUGACUUGAGGAAGAUAGUGAUGUCGUCCGCGAACAUUGAUAAUCGUUGUUUCAGUCCCAAGGGUGAGAGGGGUGUGAGGAUGCCCGAGCUCGUUGCCUUAUCAAAUAAUCUGUGUAGAGGCUUCAUGCACAUGAUGAAUAACAUUGGGGAGACGGGUCCCCCUUGCCGUAGGCCGCAACAGUUGAAAAUCGUCUCUCAAGGUAUCCCAUUGACCGCAAUCUUUGUUGUAGAUGUAGAUAGGAUGCCACAAAUCCAAGCAAUCCAUCUAGCUCAAAAGCCCAUUUGUUCCAAAACCUCAAGGAGAAACGACCAGUGGAUGGUGUCAAAAACCUUAGAUAUGUCGAGCUUGACUAAUAUCGUGGGGUCUUGAAAUACAUAGAGGCGGGAGGGGAUGCAUUGCACAUGAAAUUGCCUUGAAGAGAUCACCGACUCACAAAUGUGCUUGGGUGGUUUUCCCUCAAGGUAUGGUCGCUCCGCAACCAACCAUGUUGCCAACACCUUCUCAAAGAUCUUGAUUGCACAGUGUAUGAGGCUCACAGGCUCAUUGUCCUUGAGUUCCACUGCCCCAAUCAUCUUUGGAAAGAGAAAAACGACCGCCUUAUUGAUUGCGGGCUAUCCACACAUGUCGCCGCAGAAGAAAUGCUCCAUUUCCCGCAUAAGGUCAUCCUUUAUGAUGUGCCACCAUGAAGCAUAGAAUCGCCUGUAAACCCGACCGGCCCCGACGCUUUGUCAAGUGGCAUCCCCUUCACGAUUUUCUAAACCUCCUUACAUAUGAAGGGGGCCUCAAUAUGGGCGAGAUCGUGCACGAGAAGGCUCAAGGUAUCCAUGUUCAGGCAGAACGCCCGCUUUGGAGCCGACUGAAAUAGCCUCGAGUAGUAAUUGUCCACUGUUGUAGCGAUGUCAACCUGGCCUGUCAAUACACUUCCGUCUGAUUGCAAGCAAAGGAUAACAUUCCAUCGUUGUCGGUGCGCUGCUACAAAAAGGCCUACCAGUAGUAGGCGGGCUAGGGGCCAAGUUGUAACGCCCCAAACACACCCGCCGGCGGUCGUUACUCCUGGCGGGAUCUAGACUGGCCCCCACAUAUCAAUACUAGUCUUUUCUGCGCACUUUGUCCUCACUCAUGCGCACCUGGGAUCAACUUCCCGAUCGGUCACCCAUCCUAGAACUACUCCUAGCCAAGCACGCUUAACUUGAGAGUUCUAUUCGAAUGGGCUGCUGAGAAAGAAGGAAUUCCUUAUUGAUAUGAGUAGUCUAUCAUCCCUAAUAAGCCAGGCUAUCACAUACACUACCACUCAGAGGAACCGACAUCCUCGUCGGGCCACAGGAGCGUUCCCUCUUGGUACAAACGUCUAUGCAUCCAGUCCAGUACAUGUACCAUGUCGUGUGCCAUGACGGGUCACAAACGUCAUGAACAACAUGACCGCACACCCGUCUGCAAACAUCCGUGUAACCGCGAGGGUCGGCUCUGAUACCAAACUUGUAAUGCCCCGGACACACCCGCCGGCGGUCGUUACUCCUGGCGGGAUCUAGACUGGCCCCAUAGAUCAAUACUAGUCUUUUCUGCGCACUUUGUCCUCAUUCAUACGCACCCGGGGUCAACUAGUCUUUUCUGCGCACUUUGUCCUCAUUCAUACGCACCCGGGGUCAACUUCCCGGUCGGUCACCCAUCCUAGAACUACUCUUAGCCAAGCACGCUCAACUUGAGAGUUAUAUUCGAAUGGGCUCCCGGAAAAGAAGGAAUUCCUUAUUGAUAUGAGUAGUCUAUCAUCCCUAAUAAGCCAGGCUAUCACAUACACUACCAUUCAGAGGAACCGACGUCCUUGUCGGGCCACAGGAGCGUUCCCUCUUGGUACAAACGUCUGUGCAUCCAGUCCAGCACAUGUAUCAUGCCGUGUGCCACGACGGGUCACAAACGUCAUGAACAACAUGACCCAGUCAAUUGUCAGCUUUGACAAGGCACAACAAGUUCAUAUAAACUCCUAUGUAUAAAACAAAUACUCCAUGUUGUAGAUGGAUUCACCCACUACUGCCACAUCAAGGAUUCAUCCACAUAGGCCCUACACACCACAUGGCACCAAGCUCUAAACAUAGCAUCAAGACAGAAAAAUGACAGUUUAUGAAGUUGCUCCAAAGUGAAAUCUGAUUCCACCAAUGGAUUCCUGGGAUGAUUCUACCCCAAAUCCAUAUAUAAUAUAUGGGUACUUGCAUGGAACAAAUAGGCACAAAGCUAGCUCAAAAAACUACAUAGAUAUCAACAUAAGCAUAUGAGAGCAUUAUCACAUGUGUAGAAAUCAUAUGUGGCAUCUCCUGCUCCUACAGAUGCACAAACACAAGCCCAUCUAUCACUACAUCACACCAUAGUGGCAAGCAUGAGGGGUUAGCCCUCAUGCACAAGUGCAUGGUGCACUCAUGCCCACACACACACAUGCAUGACCACAUACACAUAUGCAUAUCCACACACAAAUGCAUACACACACAAAGCUACCACACGACUCUCACUCACAUAUACCUAGGUGUUCAAAAGAACACCCCAUGGUUUGCAAAGCCACCAAGCAGACACUUGCUCAUGUGAGUGUGACACACACACACACACACACACUACCACUACACACACAAGUGCAUACACACGCACCUGCACAACUAUGUGGGGUAACCCACACACAUACACACAUGCACACACUAAUGCACAUGUUCACAUGCACACAUACACUCAAACACCCACACAAGUCCAGCCCACCAGUGACCUCCCACCACUGCUAAAAGGCCACCAGUGGUGGGCAUUAACUAGCACCUGCCACUACUAAAGGAUGCACGAGAGCAAGUUUGCACCGAAGCAAGGUGCACCACUAGCGAGCACUAUGCUCUGCCCGCCACUGCUAGAAUUUUUUUGAAAUUAAAAAAUAUUGCACUGUACUGUGAUGUACACAAUACAUUUAAUGCAUAGAGUUUGCAUUCGGUAUUAUUCAUAUGUACAUACACACAAUUUGCAUCCAAUUCAUAUCCACUCUGAGCACAAAUCCAAAAAUGCUAGAAACACUACAUAGACAGAUACCUUAAGCACACACAUGGAAAUUAAUUUGCCCUUUCCUUGCAACCUAGCUAGACAAGGCAAAAGUCUACUCUUUUCAGGGAGAUCUUCUAAACAGAACACAACAAGCUGAAUCAAAUAUGUUACGGAACCGAUGUGGUCUUCACGUAGUGACUAGAGUCGAUGUCGCUUGGCCACGAGCUGCUUAUCCUCUUGAUCUUAUGGUCCCUAGCCUCGAGUUACUUCUCCACUAUGCCCGUCAUGGCUGGGAACAUCAAUGUCAUGUGCAUCUGCAUCUCAUACUGCAAUGUAAAUUAUUCAAAUGGAUCACAGUUAAGGAAAGCUAGAUUAGCAUAAAACACAAAUUGUGUUCAACUUCUAAUAAAGAAGAUUCUACUCUUAAACUUGCAUAAAGUAAUGACAUAUAGGUCAUAUCGUUUAUUGUAUCAUUGUUCUACUGGAACAAAUAUGUUGUGGAUCCACUGUUAUAGAAAUUUGACUAGAUUUCAUAUAUGUUAACCACAAGAAAGAGUUUUUCCUCAAUCAAUUUGUUGUGCUAGUACUAUUACUCCGAGAUGGAUUUGACAACAUAGCAAAUCACUCGUAUAAUAAGAGAAACAGUAGAAGCAAACUAGAGGUCAUGAGGUAAGUUAUACACUUGCCGCGGCUAAACUAGAGAAGAUUGAGUAACAUUCAACAUCAUUUAACAUCACUGUUACAAGAGAAACAACAAUACAAGCCUCCCGGUACUGGAUCAAGAACUUAUAGAUAAAUACAAGGUAAUGUUGCACAUGUAACAUUUUCAGUAUAGCAUGAUAAAUCAUUUAACAUCUUCAAGAACUUCUUAUCAUGUAAACUCCUACAUGCUUGUAAAGUUACUCUAUGAACUACAAAAUAUUUAAUACAUCAAGAACACUCAACAUUCCUUAGUUGGAGAAAAGUUACCCUAUGCAAAAGAGCUGGAAUUCAUUAACUGAUGAUUUAUGCCACUUGGAGAGAUGUUUGUCACACCGGUGGAGCUGAUCCUUCAUCACCUAUACAUUAAGACACUAAGAUGAUUAAGAUUGAGAAGGAAAAAAUGGACGUUUCAACAAGCACCGAGAAAGGAGACAAACUAUAGCUUCUACGUAGUUGCUACAACACAGAUUCAUACAUGAUACUAGUUCCACAUACUUCCAUACCGACAUACUUCCAUAAGAGGAACAAGAGAAAAGAAUUAUAUAUUUACAUUGUAGUAACUACUCCGCACCAUCUUCUGUUUAAAAUCUGAAUGAACAAGCAUUGCAAUAGUGUGAAAGAAGCAUGAAAUAAAGCUACAAGCACGCACUAGAUAGGUCAAUCUUGAACAACAGUUAUGUACGAGCAUAUCCGAGAGCAUACAUACAUAGUAAAGUGCUAGUUGUGCCUAAAUUUACAAGGGGACGAAGAGAAGAUUUAAAUAGUAAGCAAUAAGAUAAUAGAACCAUCUAAAGAUAUGUGUUUGGAGAACUGAAGCACAGAAACAAGUUUCACAUCAAAGCUAUCAUAGUAUCUUCAUCUAAUUUACAUCUUAACAUAACAGAAAAUAAAUGAUCUUCACCUUUCCAUUGGGGGUUCUUUUCCUUGAGGUAGUUGCCGACGUCGGUGAUGGUGGUGCUACUUCCAAUCCUUCCCGACAACGUAGAUAUUAACUUGCAUGUAUACGGUGAGUCAAUUUAAUUGUCUUGCCAUUUCAGCAAAGUUCAAUGAUGCGACAAUGCAUCUAAUUGUAGAUAAACCAUCAUGAGAGGAGAUUCAAAUGUGUUGCAUACUACAUACACGAUGAACGGUUAAGCACACACAUGUGCAUACAAAUUUUCUCCUGCCAAUUAUUUGUUGCUAUAUAUAGUAGAAACUACUAUUUGCAUACAUAAAAUUUCAUCCAUGUGCUAGAAGUAAAAUUUAGCAAACUAGACCUGUCAUUUAUGUUUGGUCGCGAGGAAAGUAAAUAAAUCGACUCGUCGUUUGCUAUCCAGAUUUUGUUUCUGAACUGACUAAUUAUGAGUAUGAUCUUAGUUCAUUUUAGUUUGGUAAUAAAAGAAAGCUUCCUAAAAAUACACAUACGAAACAUGAGGGUUUAGUUCCACACAUUCAAGUUUCUAAUGACCAGAGUCUAGCUAAAAGAAUUAGAUGACACUAACAACAUGCAUAAGUGAAGGGAAUGGAAGAAGAACAAAUCGAGAGAGGGGGUGGACCUUGAUGUUGCUUCUGCUUCUCCUUACCCUUGGACCUCGACAAGCACUUGAGCGACAGAGGAAGGGAAGCCCCACUCCAUAGCGUCAGGUGCAUGGGGUCAUGGUCAUCAUCCUCACCUGUCCUUGUACGCGGAGAGCGCCUGAUUUUCCAGAUCGACUGCAACAAAGAGAAAAUGAUGGAAUCAGGGAGAGAAGGAGGGGGUUGGAUCGAGGGAAGUUAGAGACACCACACAUGGUGUCACCGUUGGAAGUUGGCGUAGGCGAACAUUGCAUGGGAAACAAAAAAAUUCCUACGCACACGAAGACCUAUCAUGGUGAUGUCCAUCUACGAGAGGAGAUUUGGAUUUACGUACCCUUGUAGAUCGCACAACAGGAAGCGUUAAGUAACGCAAUUGAUGUAGUGGAACGUCCUCACGUCCCUCGAUCCGCCCCGCGAACCGUCCCACGAACCGUCCCGCGAUCCGUCCCACGAACCGUCCCGCGAUCCGUCCCAUGAACCGUCUCGCGAUCCGUUGCACGAACCAUCUUGCAAUCCGUCUCACGAUCCGUUCCGAUCUAGUGCCGAAUGGACGGCACCUCCGCGUUCAGCACACGUACAGCUCGACGAUGAUCUCGGCCUUCUUGAUCCAGCAAGCAAGACGGACCAUUCCGGAAACCCUCGUGACGUCCGUGAUCUCAUCCGCGACUCCGAACAACAUUCAAUAACCACACAUAUAACUCAACUAUACUAAAACAUCGUCAAACCUUAAGUGUGCAGACCUUGCGGGUUCGAGAACUAUGUAGACAUGCCCCGAGGUACUCCUCGGUCAAUAUCCAAUAGCGGGACCUGGAUGCCCGUAUUGGAUUCUACAUAUUCUUUGAAGAUCUUAUCGGUUGAACCUCAGUGUCAAGGAUUCAUAUAAUCCCGUAUGUCAUUCCCUUUGUCGUUCGGUAUGUUACUUGCCCGAGAUUUGAUCGUCGAUAUCCGCAUACCUAUUUCAAUCUCGUUACCGGCAAGUCUUUUUACUCCUUCCAUAAUACAAGAUCCCGUGACUUUCACUUAGUCACAUUGCUUGCAAGGCUUGUGUGUGAUGUUGUAUUACCGAGUGGGCCCCGAGAUACCUCUCCGUCACACAGAGUGACAAAUCCCAGUCUUGAUCCAUACUAACUCAACGGACAACUUCGGAGAUACGUGUAGAGCACCUUUAUAGUCACCCAGUUACGUUGCGACGUUUGAUGCACACAAGGUAUUCCUCCGGUGCCAGUGAGUUAUAUGAUCUCAUGGUCAUAGGAAUAAAUACUUGAUACGCAGAAAACAAUAGCAAUAAAAUGACACGAUCAAUAUGCUACGUAUAUAAUUUGGGUCUUGUCCAUCACAUGAUUCUCCUAAUGAUGUGAUCCCGUUAUCAAGUGACAACACUUGCCUAUGGCGAGGAAACCUUGACCAUCUUUGAUCAAUGAACUAGUCAACUAGAGGCUCACUAGAGACAUUGUGUUGUCUAUGUAUCCACACAUGUAUUUGAUUUUCCAAUCAAUACAAUUCUAGCAUGGAUAAUAAACGAUUAUUAUGAACAAGGAAAUAUAAUAAUAACUAAUUUAUUAUUGCCUCUAGGGUAUAUUUCCAACAGUCUCCCACUUGCACUAGAGUCAAUAAUCUAGUUCACAUCACCAUGUGAUUGUAACGAAUCCAACACCCAUAUAGUUCUGGGGUCUGAUCAUGUCUUGCUCGUGAGAGAGGUUUUAGUCAACGGUUCUGAAUCUUUCAGAUCCGUGUGUGCUUUACAAAUCUUUAUGUCAUCUUAUAGAUGCUGCUACUACGUGCUAUUCGAAAAUUCUCCAAAUGUCUACUGUACUAUACGAAUCCGUUUUAGUACUCAUAGUUAUUCGGAUUAGUGUCAAAGCUUGAGUAUUCUAUAGUGUCACCUNNNNNNNNNNNNNNNNNNNNNNNNNNNNNNNNNNNNNNNNNNNNNNNNNNNNNNNNNNNNNNNNNNNNNNNNNNNNNNNNNNNNNNNNNNNNNNNNNNNNGUUUUUCCUCUAGAUCGCGUUUCUGCGGAGCUCGGGCGGAGCCCUGCUGAGACAAGGUCAUCACCAACCUCCGGAGCGCCGUCACGCUGCCGGAGAACUCUUCUACCUCUCCGUCUCUCUUGCUGGAUCAAGAAGGCCGAGAUCAUCGUCGAGCUGUACGUGUGCUGAACGCGGAGGUGUCGUCCGUUCGGCACUAGAUCGAAGCGGAUCGUGGGACGGAUCGCGGGACGGUUCGUGGGACGGUUCGCGGGGCGGAUCGAGGGACGUGAGGACGGUCCACUACAUCGUUCCACUACAUCAACCGCGUUCACUAACGCUUAUGCUGUACGGUCUACAAGGGUACGUAGAUCACACAUCCCCUCUCGUAGAUGGACAUCACCAUGAUAGGUCUUCGUGCGCGUAGGACAAUUUUUGUUUCCCAUGCGACGUUCCCCAACAGUGGCAUCAUGAGCUAGGUUCAUGCGUAGAUGUCUUCUCGAGUAGAACACAAAAGUUUUUGUGGGCGGUGAUGUGCGUUUUGCUGCCCUCCUUAGUCUUUUCUUGAUUCCGCGGUAUUGUUGGAUUGAAGCGGCUUGGACCGACAUUACUCGUACGCUUACGAGAGACUGGUUUCAUCUCUACGAGUAACCCCGUNNNNNNNNNNNNNNNNNNNNNNNNNNNNNNNNNNNNNNNNNNNNNNNNNNNNNNNNNNNNNNGUGUCAGUUUCUCCAACUUUAGUUGAAUCGGAUUUGACCGAGGAGGUCCUUGGAUGAGGUUAAAUAGCAACUCAUAUAUCUCCGUUGUGGUGUUUGCGUAAGUAAGAUGCGAUCCUACUAGAUACCCAUAGUCACCACGUAAAACAUGCAACAACAAAAUUAGAGGACGUCUAACUUGUUUUUGCAGGGUAUGCUUGUGAUGUGAUAUGGCCAACGAUGUGAUGUGAUAUAUUGGAUGUAUGAGAUGAUCAUGUUGUAAUAGAAAUAUCGACUUGCACGUCGAUGGUACGGCAACCGGCAGGAGCCAUAGGGUUGUCUUUAAACUAACGUUUGUGCUUGCAGAUGCGUUUACUAUUUUGCUAGGAUGUAGCUUUAGUAGUAAUAGCAUGAGUAGCACGACAACCCCGAUGGCGACACGUUGAUGGAGAUCAUGGUGUGGUGCCGGUGACAAGAAGAUCGUGCCGGUGCUUUGGUGAUGGAGAUCAAGAAGCACGUGAUGAUGGCCAUAUCAUGUCACUUAUGAAUUGCAUGUGAUGUUAAUCCUUUUAUGCACCUUAUUUUGCUUAGAACGACGGUAGCAUUAUGAGGNNNNNNNNNNNNNNNNNNNNNNNNNNNNNNNNNNNNNNNNNNNNNNNNNNNNNNNNNNNNNNNNNNNNNNNNNNNNNNNNNNNNNNNNNNNNNNNNNNNNGGUGGGGGGGUGGGGGCGAUGGAGUGUGUUUCUCUAUUUAUAAUGCAGCGUGUUCGAUGGGCCUUCGCGGUUUGAUUCAGAGUUAUUCGCUAACCAAUCCACACUAUUGUGUAAAAAUUUCAUCGGUGGCUGCAUGUUCUAUAUUGAUGCUACAAUAUUACAUAUUCACACCUCUUUUUUAGCGGGUGCGAGUGAUGUCGAUUGAUUGAUAUGUUUUUAUAGGUCAAUUGUUGUCGGUUGAUUUGGAAAAUCGUUGAAUUGAUCAAAAUCGUAAACCAAAUCUAAAAUUAAAUACCUCGAUGGAAUAAGAGAGCUUCAAAAUUAAAGAGCGCAGUGAAUAAAAGAAUAUAGUAACAGAGAUGAAUUAAAUAAUUUAUUAAGAGAGAUGAAUUAAAAAAAAAAGAGCUCUUUGAGAAAUUGUUGACCCGAUCAAAAUCGGAUGACCUAAUUAUAAAUUGGAGACUUCAAUUGGUUGUGAGGCUUUAAAAUUAAGGAGCAUAGUAUAUUUAUAAAUAUAGUAUACAGACGAGGGAUAACCCCGGGUGGCUCAUCGAGCCUACACCUUUGCAUUCAAGAUUGAAGGGAAACCACAACUCGUUCCAUACGGCCAAAUCCUCCUUGCCGGCUAGUGGCAAGACGGUCAACUCCUCCUGGCCGACUAGGAGUCGCCUGUCGGCUAGGGGCGAGACGGCUACCUCCUUCUGGCCAUCUGGGAAGCGUCUGUCGGCUAGUGGCGAGACGGCCAUUUCUAGGCCGGCUAGCGAGGCCGCUAGCCGGCCAGGGAGCUCAAGUCACAUCAGAUCGUAGGCCAUGACGAGACUCUACAAUUAAAGGUGAAUACGCGUCAGCAAGGGUACAAGGUUGGAGCGCACGACAGAUACAGUGUCAGCGGCCAUGCCGCUAACCUACUCCGGCUCCGAUCCGUCAAGCCCGCACAGUACCAGCCCGUCAACACCCACUCCAUUACCAAGCUUGGCAUGGCAACAAUGGAGGCGGCCGUACUGGCAACCCAUGAAGAAUCUCGCAAGACGAGCUGGACGUACUACACAUGUCCUUCGUCGGCCUUAAGCGAGAGCAUCAUUGGCUGGCCGACGGAUCCCAUAGCCAGGUGGGACCUUGCAGCCGGCGGGCCCCUGCAACGACAAGACAAGACCACUGUGGACUCCCUGGCCAACCGGCGAGGCUGCCAGGCGGGUCCCUCCUUUGUACUUUUAUUCUAAUUGUAGGUCGGUGGGUUCGUCUAUAGAACCCCCCGACCCCCUCCAUGCAGAGGGUCGGUCAAUUGCUCACACACACACACACCCAUACAGGAGAGGUAGACGCGAGCCGGCAGCUCCUUCUCCCCCCUCCGUCGAACAGCUCCAGGAGCACAUUGUAACCUCGUUGGUGCAUUAUUCAUUCCGGCAGGACUAGGGGUGUUAUCUCUAUGGAGAGCCCUGAACCUGGGUACAUCGUGAGUCCCUCGCUUGUACUAACCCCAUUCCCGGAGCCCGUCGGUGUCCUUUCGGUUCCCACCACUCAUGUUUAGCCUACCCAUGGCUAAUGUCGUCAGAAAACACCGACAUUUGGCGCCCACCGUGGGGCCGUUCGCGGCACCGGCCGGAGUUACGCUCUAGGCGGGGCCCUUCACCAACACCGCCGGAUGCCUCGCGUCUGGAUCGAUCAGGAUGCCCGUGGAGCCUGCCCUUGUGGAGGUUUCUGCGAUGCUGGUCGAUGUUCCAAGCCGUCUCACGGACUAUAUUGAGGAGUCUGACGACGAGUAGCUCCCCGGAGUUGUCAUCGCCGCUGUUGCGAACCUCCCCGUCCUUUUUAGCGACCUACGCCUCGGAUUUGAGCCUCGCCACCUCAGCGAGGGCAUCGACAUCGAUGCGCUACGCGCCAGCUUCAGCAGACUCUCCCUCGAGGAGGUGCCUGUGCUUGAUGAGUACCCUAGCGAGGUGCUUGUCUUCGAUGGUCCACCGUCAUCUGCGGGGUGUCUUACCCCGCACCACAUCGCUGUCGUCUCCAACCUCAUGGAGGUGAUGGUCAUUGGCGCUGGCACCAGCAAGCCUCACGGCAAGGCGUCGGCUGAGGCAGUUGACCCCGCUGCAGGCUCGGCUGACACGCUUCACGCUGCCCUUGCCGGCUUGAAGACGCCUAUCGCCACCACUGCAAACCCAGCUGAUGCCAGGGCCUCGCUCGAGGAGGCCCGUAGACAGAUUCUGGAGGAGGGCAUUGAUGCCAACUGUUCUUCCCCUUUGCAACGGCACCAGAAGAAUGCUCCUAGCACUCCCCGGCAAUCGAAACUAGAAGAAUGUUGUUGACGGCCCACAAGCGCAUGGGAUCGCAACAGUUUUCGAGGGUAGAGUAUUCGAGCCAAAUUUGUUGAUUCGCACGACGGGAGGUGAGAGAAUACUCUCAAGUAUUAGCAGUUGAAUUGUCAGAUUCAACCACACCUGAAAGAUUAGUAUCUGCAAGCAAAGUAGUAACAGCAAAGUAGCGAGUAACGGGCAAUAGCAGCGGCAAGGAAAAGCAGUAGUGACAGCAGUAGCAAGUAGCAACAGUAGCAAGCGACAGUAGUAGCAACAGUAGUAGCAGAGCAAGACAAGUAACAACAGUAGCAACAGUAGUAGCAGCAACAGAGCAAGACAAGUAACGACAAUAGCAACAGUACUAGCAACAGCAGUAGGACAAACUCAUAGGCAAUGGGCCGGUGAUUUCUUUGGAUGAUAUUCAUCAUGCAACAGUUAUAACACGGAGAGAUAUGUGGCUAGCUCCCGUUCGUCAAUGUGAUGUAGGCAUGCAUUCCGUGUGUCGUCAUACGUGCUUAGGGAAAAGAACUUGCAUGACAUCUAUUGUCCAUCCCUCCCGUGGCAGCGGGGUCCAAAAGGAAACUACGGGAUAUUAAGGUUCUCCUUUUAAUAAAGAACUGGACCAACGCAUUAGCACUUGGUGAACACAUGAACUCCUAAAACUAUGGUCAUCACCGGGAGUGAUUCCGGUUAUUGUCAGUCCAGGGUUGCCGGAUCAUAACACAUAGUAGGUAACUACAACUUGCAAGAUCGGAUCUAAAACACACAUAUAUUGGUGACAACAUAAUAAUUUCAGAUCUGAAAUCAUGGCACUCGGGCCCUAGUGACAAGAAUUAAGCAUGGCAAAGUAGUAGCAAUAUCAAUCUGAGAACAUAGUGGAUACUAGGGAUCAAUCCCCAUCAAAACUAACUCGAUUACAUGAUAGAUCUCAUCCUACUCAUCACCGCCCAGCGAGCCUACGAAUAGAUUACUCACGAACGAUGAAGAGCUUCAUGGAAUUGGAGAGGGAAGAAGGUUGAUGAUGACGAUGGCGACGAUUUCCCCUCUCGGGAGCCCAAGACGGACUCCACAUCUGCCCCCCAAAUGAAGAACAGGUGGUGGCGGCGCCUCCGUAUUGAAAACGCGACGAAAACUUCUCUUUUUAUUUUUUCUGCGACGAAAGGGGACUUAUAGACCUGAGGUUGGGGGAGGCAUAGCCGUGUGGGCCCCACAAACCUGCCCACCACCACCAGGGGGGUGGUGGCGGAUCCAGGGCUUGUGGCCCACUGGCCCACCCCCUCAGGUGGAACUUGGCACAACUAUUUUUUAUAUUUUCCAAAAUUGCUCCCCGUAAAUUUUCAGGACGUUUGGAGAACUUUGAUUUCUGCACAAAAAUAAAACCAAGGCAAUUCUGUUGAAAACAGCGUCAGUCCAGGUUAGUUCUAUUCAAAUCAUGCAAAUUANNNNNNNNNNAAUUUCCCCUCUCCGGAGCCCAAGACGGACUCCAGAUCUGCCCUUCAGAUGAAGAACAGGUGGUGGCGGUGCCUCCGUAUCGACAAAAACUUCUCUUUUUAUUUUUUCUGGGAUGAAAGGGGACUUAUAGACCUGAGGUUGGGUGCGGCAGAGCCGUGUGGGCCCCACAAGUCUGCCCACUGCCACCAGGGGGGUGGUGGCGGAGCCGGGGCUUGUAGCCCACUGGCCCACCCCCUGAGGUGGAACUUGGCGCAGAUAUUUUUUAUAUUUUCCAAAACUGCUCCCCGUAAAUUUUCAGGACAUUUGGAGAACUUUGAUUUCUGCACAAAAAUAACACCAAGGCAAUUCUGCUGAAAACAGCGUCAGUCCAGGUUAGUUCUAUUCAAAUCAUGCAAAUUAGGGUCCAAAACAAGGGCAAAAGAGUUUGGAAAAGUAGAUACGAUGGAGACGUAUCAACUCCCCCAAGCUUAAAACCUUGCUUGUCCUCAAGAAACUCAGUUGACAAACAGAGAGAGAAAGAAAAACUUUGACAAAGUCUGUUUGAUCUUGUUGUUGCAACUAUGUCUAACUCACAACGUGAAUUUCAGCAAGAUCACAAGUUAACCACAUAAGCAAAUGACACAAAGGUCUCACGGUAAACUAAUAUCAAUGGCAUAAUCAGCUAACGAGCAAAUAAUAAUGAGUUUCAAAUACCAACACUUCAAUCAAAACAAGCAUGAAGCAACAUGAGUAGGUGGUAUCUCGCUAGCUCUUUCUGAGACCGCAAAACAUAAAUGCAGAGCACUUUCAAAGAUCAAGGGCUGACUAAACAUUGUAAUUCAUAGCAACAAAGAUCCAGUCAUAGUCAUACUCAAUAUCAAUCAAAAGCAAAGCAUAAAAAUGACAAAGGUGCUCUCUAAUUGGUGCUUAUAUAAGAGGAGGAUGACUCGACAGGAAAAUAAAUAGACAUGCCCUUCGCACAGGGAAGCAUUGAUUUGCAGAGGUGCCAGAGCUCAAGCUUUGAAAAUAGAGAUAAUAAUUUUGGGUGGCACACAAUGACCAAGAGUUCUCAAUAUCUUCCAUACUACUCAUGCUAUAGGCGGUUCCCAAACAGAAAAGUAAAGUUUUAACUCCCCCACCACCAAUCAAUCACACUCCACGGCUAGCCGAAUCCUCGGGUACCGUCCAUACUAACAUCAAUCCGGGGGGAGUCUUGUUUUACAGUUAUGUUUUCGGUUUAAGCGUGGAACUGGGCAUUCCAAUUACCGGCCCCUUUCUCGUGAAUGACAGUGAAUAAACACAUGUCGAGGAUAACACUCCUAGCAUGGAAGAUACCAAUAGCCCCCCUGUCACCACAUGAGCGGUUCGGGCAUGCAAAACAAAUUAUUUCUUGAAGGUUUAGAAAGUGGCACAUGCAAAUUUACUUGGAACGGCAGGUAGAUACCGCAAAUAGGUAGGUAUGGUGGACUCUCAUGGAAAAAAAAUUUGGGUUUAUGGAAGUGGAUGCACAAGCAGUAUUCCGCUUAGUACAAGUGAAGGCUAGCAAAAGACUGGGAAGCGACCAACGAGAGAGCGACAACAGUCAUCAAGAUGCAAUGAGUUUGACUAACAUUGAAUGCAAGCAUGAACAUGAUAUAAAUCACCAUGAACACGAACAUCAUAGAGGCUAUGUUGAUUUUGUUUCUACUACAUGCAUGAACAUGCGUCAAGUCAAGCCACUUGAAACAUUCAAAGGAGAAUACCAUCCUAUCAUACUACAUCAUAGUCAUCUCAAAAUCUAUGUUGGCAUUCAAGACAAACCAUUAUAAGCUCUCAGCUAAAUAAGCAUGGCAUCAGAAACUAUGAUCUCUAAGUUGUCAUUGCAAACAUGGUUCUCUCACAACAAAGCUAAAUCUGGGUCGACAAGCUAGUCAUAUUUACAAAAACAAAAUAGAUAGAGUUCAUACCAGCUUUUCAGUCUCAGUCACUUCAUCUUAUAUCAUCGUUGUUGCCUUUCAUUUGCACGAUCGAACGGUGUGAACAAUAAUAAGCGCAUUGGACUAAGCUGAAUCUGCAGGAAAACACAAAGGAGAAGACAAAGUAAUAUGGCUUUUCGAAAGCUAAAUAGGUAAGCAUGCAAGAACCAAUAAACAUUGUAACCAAUAUCUUCUACCUUGACACAAAGAAAAAGAAAACUAUUUACACGGGAAGCUCCCAACAAGCAAAAGAAGAAAAAAAAAUCUUUUUGGGUUUUCUCAAAAGGACACAAAACAAGAAAACAAGAAAACGAAAAUAAACUAGCAUGGAGAAUACGGUGGCAAAGUGUAAACACCGGCUAACAAAGUGAAAGCAUAAGCAUGAAUGUAAAGUCAGUGAGAACACGUACUGCCCCAAGCUUAGGCUUUUGGCCUAGCUUGGUCUACUCCCAAGGUGGGAAAUAACCAGCUCCAGGAUACUCCGGAGCAGACUGUGGAUGCCACUGUUGUGUGAGCUCCUCUGGCUCCCACUGAUAAACUGGUGUCUGGUACUCGACUGGCGGCUCGGGCACGUGCGCCUGUGGUUGGGCCAAGCCCCAAUAUGCGUAGAUGUUCGCGGGCAUAAUAGUGUACCUGCCUGCAUGAAGAUCGAACAAAGAAGGAGCAGGCAAAGUAAUAGUCUCUCGAGUACCCUGACUAAACACCAGGUUAUAAAUCAUCCGUCUACUAGCAUAUCUAUCCAGAAAAUCAUGGUGAACCAUGCUGUCAUAAUCCAGAUAUUUCUCAAGGAGAAGCAUCUCUCCUUCCUCUCCGAGUCUAAUGGGUAUCUCAAAGUGUCUGGAAAGAUGGGUAGCAUAGAUACCUCCAUAGACAACACCUUUAGAACGGUCCAGGUUCAACCGUUGAGCUACUAUAGCGCCCAAGCUAUAAGUCUUAUCGUUAUAAAGGCCUUCGUGCAAAACCGCAAGGUCCGGAGAACUAAGUGAUCCAGCCUCCCCACGGCCAAUCAAACAUUUUCCCACAAAUAGUGAGAAGUACCGAAGCACAGGAAAAUGUAUGCUAGCAAUUCUAGCGCGAGACACUCCUCUCUCCUCUCCAACAACAAUAGAACCAAUGAAAUCCUCCAAGUCCCGUGGACGAGGGUCACGGAUAUCCCCAACAUAAGGUCAUUUGCAUACAUUGCAAAAGUCAUGCAGCAUCAUGCACUGGGUGACAUCGUAUAUCAUGAACUCAACCAUGGGAGGAUUCUUCCUCGGAUAAAAGUUGAAGCUUUGAACGAAAAUAUUGGUGAGGAGAAGGUAUUGUGGGCACUUAUCUUCAAUGAACGCAGUAAGACCUGCGUUCUCCACCAAGUAAUAGAAGUCUUCAUAAAGUCCGGUAGCGCGCAAAAAUUCAUCACUUGGCCACUCGCACGCUCGAACUUCUGUGACUCGAGGGACUACGUACUUGGGCUGGUUCUUCUCAUCUUCCUUGGGGUUACGGCUUGAAGAGCCUCUCAAGAACCUCCUCAUAUUUUUAUUUUUCUAGCUCUGAAAAAUUCGGAAAAUUUUAGAGACUUCGAAAGAAAAGUGAACAAGGAUUAACCCAACUUGUAGCAACUACUCCUACUAGUGCCUAGAGACUGUAUCACGUGCUCAAACUACUUGGGACCAGCUAAAAUCAACAUUUCUAGCUCAAGAACGGGGUCACCAAGGUAGCAAGAAUACGCGAAGGAUAAAGCACUAGAGCAAAAACUAACUGGACCAAUGGAGGAGUCACUUACCAAGGAGUAAUUUUCCCAAAAUGGUUCGGAGAAUGGUGCUUUGAGCAAGGAGAUCGAAAAUCACACCCAAAUGAGCAAGAACACGGGUUUGAGAUGCGAAACAAUUUUUUCUAGAGGUGGAAGAAGAGGCUGAGAGCUGGAAUGAGUGGAGGGGGUGCCUGUGGGCCCCUCAAGCUUGCACUCCGCCACCAGGGGGGUGGGUGGCGGUGGCAGGGCUUGUGGCCCACUGGUCUGGCCCCAGGCUAGCUCUCAGGCCUAGAAAUUUUCAAAAAUUCCAGAAAAAAUCAUACUAAAUUUUCAGGACCAUCGGAGAACUUUUAUUUUCGAGGUAUUUUUCUCCGGGACGCUAAAACAGGAAACAGGAAAAGCUAAACUAAUUCUAUCAUUUUUCUUCUAAGCAAAAGAAAAUGAAAGCUUUAAAACAGAGGUGUGUGACUCUUUGAUUCAUCUGUUUCAUGGUCAUCGAAAGAAAUCCGUCAAUGGGGUUGAUCAAGUCCUUAUGACAAAACCUUCUCGAAUCGCAAGAGAGAACGGAGAGUUUUCGAAUAGUCACUAAGUCACCUCAAUGGGGAUAUGUAUCUCCCCAACAAGCAAAUCAUACUUCAUCUUGACACGAGGAAUAGGGCAUUCAAAGCUCCCAAUAAGACUCGAUGAAGUCUUUUCGAUAGCAUUGAUGCAAUGUACUUGAUAUCGUUUCUUCGGAAAGUGCAUUGUGUGCUCAUUACCGUUGACAUGGAAAGUGACAUUGCCUUUGUUGCAAUCUAUAACAGCCCCUGCAGUGUUUAAAAAGGGUUUUCCGAGGAUGACAGCCAUGGCAUCGUCCUCAGGAAUAUCCAAGAUAACAAAGUCUGUUAAGAUGGUGGUGUUAGCAACCACAACAGGCACAUCCUCGCAAAUGCCGAUAGGGAAAGCAGUUGAUUUGCCGGCCAUUUGCAGAGAAAUUUCAGUGGGUGUCAACUUAUCCAACUCAAGUCUACGAUAAAGAGAAAGCGGCAUAACACUAACACCGGCUCCAAGGUCACAUAAGGCAGUUCUUACGNNNNNNNNNNNNNNNNNNNNNNNNNNNNNNNNNNNNNNNNNNNNNNNNNNNNNNNNNNNNNNNNNNNNNNNNNNNNNNNNNNNNNNNNNNNNNNNNNNNNAGGCGUCCAUCCUUGCUAUCUCAGGCUGCCGGCCUGGAACCCAUCCUAGAUCGAUGAAGAAGAAGAAGAAGAAGAAGAAGCAACUCCAAAUGAACAAUCAACGCGCUCGCGUCAAGUAACCUUUACCUGUACCUGCAACUGGUGUUGUAGUAAUCUGUGAGCCAUAGGGGACUCAGCAAUCUCAUUUCCAAAGGUAUCAAGACUAGCAAAGCUUAAUGGGUGAGGCAUGGUUAAGUGGUGAGGUUGCAGCAGCGGCUAAGCAUAUAUUUGGUGGCUAAAAUUACGAGUACAAGAAAUAAGAGGGGAAGAUCUACGCAUAACGGACGUGAGCUACUCAUGAUCAAAUGAAUGAUCCUAAACACCUACCUACGUCAGACAUAACCCCACCGUGUCCUCGAUCGAAGAAGGGACUCACGAAAGAGACAGUCACGGUUACGCGCACAAUUGGCAUAUUUUAAUUAAGUUAACUUCAAGUUAUCUAGAACCAGUGUUAAACAAAGUUUCCACGUUGCCACAUAACCGCGGGCACGGCUUUCUUAAAGAUUUAACCCUGCAGGGAUGCUCCAAACUAGUCCAUGACAAAUUACCACAAGCCGCAUAGAAAUCCUCAAUCACGAAGCUCGCGAUCUCGUCGGAUUCCCUAGUGGAAAACCUCAACUCUGAGAUUACCCAAAGCAUCACUGGAAUCCCGAUGCACAAGAUAUCUCGUCAAAGGUAAAACUAAUCCAGCAAGGCCGCCCNNNNNNNNNNACUUUCCGAAAGAUUUAACCCUGUAGGGGUGCUCCAAACUAGUCCAUCACAAAUUACCACAAGCCGCAUAGAAAUCCUCAAUCACGAAGCUCGCGAUCUCGUCGGAUUCCCUAGUGGAAAAGCUCAACUCUGAGAUUACCCAAAGCCUCACCGGAAUCCCGGUGCACAAGAUAUCUCGUCAAAGGUAAAACUAAUCCAGCAAGGCCGCCCGACGUGUCCACGAUCCCGAUAGGAGUCGCGUACCUCGUUCUCAGGACACGGCGGAUGAGCUAGACGUCGGGAUCGCUAAACCUCCGGGUGACCAGAGGGGCGCCGGACAUCGCUCAGGUGGGGCCAACACUCAUGAGGAGCACUGGCCCGGGGGUUGAUUAAAUUAUCCUCGGGGUCCGGAAAGUCCCUAUGCAAAUUUUAUUAGGUGUUUAGGCAAAUGUAGUACCAAAGUUGGGCCUUGUCAGACCAGCUUUAAUCUAAAACGAAUUAUCAAGGGGGUCCCCAUAACAACCCCGAUCGUGUUAGGAGUGCUCAUUUAUGGAACAUAACACCGGUAGCCGGAAACUAAGGGGGCAAANNNNNNNNNNGAGUUGGGCCUUGCCAGACCAGCUUUAAUCUAAAACGAAUUAUCAAAGGGGUCCCCAUAACAACCCCGAUCGUGUUAGGAGCGCUCAUUUAUGGAACAUAACACCGGUAGCCGGAAACUAAGGGGGCAAAGGUGGAACAAAACACCAGGCUAGAAAAGGCCGAGCCUUCCACCUUUUACCAAGUAUAUAGGUGCAUUAAAUUACAUAGCAUUAAUAUGGUGAUAUGACAAGGGACCCAUGUUAUUACAUGAAAGCAACUGCGCCUGCAACUAGCAACGCUAACAACAUGGUUAAGCAAGCAGUAACAUAGNNNNNNNNNNAAUAGCAUUAAUAUGGUGAUAUGACAAGGGACCCAUGUUAUUACAUGGAAGCAACUGCACCUGCAACUAGCAACGCUAACAACAUGGUUAAGCAAGCAGUAACAUAGCCAAUCAGUGGUUUGCUAGGUCGAACAGGUUGAAGGUUUCAUGGCAUUGUUGAGAGGCUGAUAUUUAACAUGUGGUAGGCAACGAGACAUAAGCGAGAGAAGCGAUAAAACUAGCAUGGCAAUGAUAGUAAUGGUAUCUGGGGAAAUGGUCAUCUUGCCUGAGAUCCCGCUAAGAAGAAGAAUGACUCCGUGAAGCAAACGAACCAACGUAGUCGAACGGUCCUCACAUCCGACACGCUUGUGGAACUCUAUCGAGACGGAGGGAAACGGAAACAAGCAUCAACACACGAUAUUCACCACAUGAUGCAAGACACAUAUGAUGCAUGAACGGUCUAAUGCAAGGCAUGACAAUCAGAACAAUCAAACACUACACAUUAAGUGAAGCUCGAUAUGCAACGAGUUGCGUAUCGACAAAACUCCACAUCUAAUUAUUUAGUUCACUCCCGUUCAGUUACACGGCUAUAUUAAAAGGAUGUUAACAUGGCAAGGGGGUGAAGCACAAAUUAAUCUACCUAUCUAUGCAUUUUAAAUGAGGCCGGAAACGACAUAUAGCAUCUCCGAAAUGACCCCACGUGUUAAAUUCUAAUUCUGUCCAGAUUUGUCCUAAUCACAUUUUAUGUUUGUUAAACGGCAAAACAAAGUGGAUCACAUGAUUGUACUCAUCGUUCUGGCUCAUUUACAUAUAUGUCACAUCUCCAACGGAGCUACGGUUAAAUAGUUANNNNNNNNNNUCUAUCCAGGCAUUUUAAAUGAGGCCGGAAAUGACAUAUAGCAUCUCCGAAAUGACCCCACGUGUUAAAUUCUAAUUCUGCCCAGAUUUGUCCUAAUCACAUUUUAUGUUUGUUAAACGGCAAAAUAAAGUGGAUCACAUGAUUCUACUCGUCGUUCUGGUCCAUUUACAUAUAUGUCACAUCUCCAACGGAGCUACGGUUAAAUAGUUACGACCUAAACCGUCUUAACACGGCACGACACGCAAACGAGGUAAACAGCAAGGUUAAAAGCUUUUAUCAUGCAUGAGAGUUGAAAAUUAUUAACCUACGUAAAAUUCUACACGUUCUANNNNNNNNNNNNNNNNNNNNNNNNNNNNNNNNNNNNNNNNNNNNNNNNNNNNNNNNNNNNNNNNNNNNNNNNNNNNNNNNNNNNNNNNNNNNNNNNNNNNAUGCUAGGCGAUCCAGGCGACCAGGGGAUCGAAUCCCACGGAGCCCAAUUUUAUUUUCCCCUUGCGUAAGUUCAUUUUCCCCCUUAAAUCAUGCAUACAUGGCCACUUGGGCCUGAUCCAAUCUUGGGCUGCCGCACUAUGGUGCAAUUCAGCCUUUUGUAGAUUNNNNNNNNNNUGCUCUAGCCUAGUGGUCAGCGCCAUGCUAGGCGAUCCACGCGACUAGGGGAUCGAAUCCCAGGGAGCCCUAUUUUAUUUUCCCCAUGCGUAAGUUCAUUUCCCCCCCUUAAAUCAUGCAUACAUGGCCACCUGGGCCUGAACCAAUCUUGGGCUGCCGCACUAUGGUGCAAUUCAGCCUUUUGUAGAUUUUUUUACGUCUUGUGAUUCUUAUUUUUUUUUUCAUUUCCAGGUUCCUUUGCUAAUUUCAGAAAAAUAGCAUGAUUUUUAAAAUGCCGUAUCUUUNNNNNNNNNNUUACGUCUUCGAUUCUAAUUUUUUUUCUUCAUUUCGAGGUUUUUUUUGCUAAUUUCAGAAAAAUAGCAUGAUUUUUAAAAUGCCGUAUCUUUUAAACCGUGCGUCGGAUCGCAACAAGUCAUAUAUNNNNNNNNNNNNNNNNNNNNNNNNNNNNNNNNNNNNNNNNNNNNNNNNNNNNNNNNNNNNNNNNNNNNNNNNNNNNNNNNNNNNNNNNNNNNNNNNNNNNAGGCAAAGGCUAGGCCUUCCGUUAUUUACCAAGUAUAUAGGUGCAUUAAUUAAAUAACAGAUUUAAACAUAAUGAUAUCAACUCAUGUUAUCACAUGAGACAAAGCACCUGCAACUAGCAAUGCUAACAUUAGAAGCUUAGCAAAGCCUACCUAGCCAUUCAAUGUUUGCUAGGAGGGGAAAAGUGUUAGGGUUUCCAUGGCAAUAUUAGGAGGCAAUUAUUUCAGUGGUAGGCAGCGAGCAUAUGAUGAAAGAAACAUAAUCUAGCAUAACAGGUCUAGAGAUGGAAUCAAUGUCAUAUCAUCUUGCAUGUGAUGUCCUCAGCUUGGAACUGCUCUUGUUCAUCCUACACGUACUCUCCCGGAUCCACGUACUCGUUCUCCGAUCUCGGUGCUACCCAACAUAAAAAUAGCAUCCAAUGAACAACAACACACAAGAUGCAACAAGCACAUGAUGCAUGAGAUGAAAAUGAACAUGNNNNNNNNNNNNNNNNNNNNNNNNNNNNNNNNNNNNNNNNNNNNNNNNNNNNNNNNNNNNNNNNNNNNNNNNNNNNNNNNNNNNNNNNNNNNNNNNNNNNNNNNNNNNNNNNNNNNNNNNNNNNNNNNNNNNNNNNNNNNNNNNNNNNNNNNNNNNNNNNNNNNNNNNNNNNNNNNNNNNNNNNNNNNNNNNNNNNNUGCGUCACGCGAAAUGAUGCAAAACCAUAUAAAGAACGUUACAAACGGAGCUAUGGAUCAACGGGAAACAACGAAACAAGAAAUGAAGUCCUACGUAUCAAAUCCAACACAACACACUCCAAUGGCAUACUUCUGGUAUUCCCAGGUUGCCAUAUCACAAAUCAAACAAGUAUGGAUGGGGUGGUGCAAGGAAUAUCACCACACCAUCAACUAUACACUCACANNNNNNNNNNCAUCAAAACUAUACAAUCUGCCAUAAACAGCAUCAUAGCAGUUUGAGAGCUACAUGCAAAGCACCUACAACCACCCAAUUAUGUCAAAUAGGAUAUGUGGAAGAAGCUAUUCAAAAGUACUACAAGCAUGAGCAAAAAGAUAAUACAAAGUAGUUUCACACAGAAAGAUCUACAGCUACUAACUUGGACAAAAAUAUCAGUUUUCAGGGACUUAGUGAAAAUUCCAGAUUCUCACUAGUUGUUUAUGCUCUGAAGCAUUUUGACAGCACCCAAAACAAUAUCUACAGGAUUCCAAAUGGAAUGAAAAUUUACAGAGAGCUAUACAAACACAAAAGCUACAACUUUCCAGUUGAUAGCGAAGGCUGAUUCCCAACACAUGGACCUCUACAAGCCCAACAAUAGGAGAAGAAAAUAUAAGCAGAUUCUCAGACUUAGUGAAAAUCACAGAUUUUCACUAAACUGGAAUUUCAGCCACAUGCCUACUUUGACUAGGCACAACUUGCACAUAUGAACUCCUAAGCAUGAAACAAAACCAACAUGUUAUAGAGGGGAUCGUCCUCUAGUUCCACAACAAGGAAUCAACCUCUUGGGCCCAUCACAUCACAUGAAACCAAGCUCUAAACAUGGAACAAAACUGAAAUAUGACAUACCCAGAAAGUGUUCCAAAGGCAAAGCUGACUCCACCAAUGGAUUCCUGGGAUGUUUCUACCCCAAAAACAUAUAUAAUACAUAGGCACUUGCAUAGAACAAUUGGGCACAAACUUGAAAAGUAAACCUACAUGGAAUCACAUAGAGUGAAUAGUGCAUCAUCACAUGUGCUUCCACUAGCUCAUCACUUAUGCAUGCUCUUGCACAUGUCCACAACACCAAUGGUGCACAUGAGGGGUAUACCUCAUGCUCAUGUGCCUUAGCACACCACCACACACCACAUACAUCAAGCACCACAAAUGACAACAUUUACACAUGCUAGUUAUCACCACACCUUAACUUACACUCACAAAUGCAUACCUACACCUACACAUACAACUUGCACAUGUGCUCUUCAAGGCACAUCAUGCCCUUGGCAUGUGUGAAACACACACACACACACAAGCACACACAACAUCAUACACACAUAUUAGAGCCACUACUACUACACCACAAAGCAUGUGGGGAGGGGGUGAANNNNNNNNNNUUUCGCAUGUGUGAAACACACACACACAAGCACACACAACAUCAUACACACACAUUAGAGCCACUACUACUACACCACAAAGCAUGUGGGGAGGGGGUGAANNNNNNNNNNNNNNNNNNNNNNNNNNNNNNNNNNNNNNNNNNNNNNNNNNNNNNNNNNNNNNNNNNNNNNNNNNNNNNNNNNNNNNNNNNNNNNNNNNNNAGGCGUCCAUCCUUGCUAUCUCAGGCUGCCGGCCUGGAACCCAUCCUAGAUCGAUGAAGAAGAAGAAGAAGAAGAAGAAGCAACUCCAAAUGAACAAUCAACGCGCUCGCGUCAAGUAACCUUUACAUGUACCUGCAACUGGUGUUGUAGUAAUCUGUGAGCCACAGGGGACUCAGCAAUCUCAUUUCCAAAGGUAUCAAGACUAGCAAAGCUUAAUGGGUGAGGCAUGGUUAAGUGGUGAGGUUGCAGCAGCGGCUAAGCAUAUAUUUGGUGGCUAAAAUUACGAGUACAAGAAAUAAGAGGGGAAGAUCUACGCAUAACGGACGUGAGCUACUCAUGAUCAAAUGAAUGAUCCUAAACACCUACCUACGUCAGACAUAACCCCACCGUGUCCUCGAUCGAAGAAGGGACUCACGAAAGAGACAGUCACGGUUACGCGCACAAUUGGCAUAUUUUAAUUAAGUUAACUUCAAGUUAUCUAGAACCAGUGUUAAACAAAGUUUCCACGUUGCCACAUAACCGCGGGCACGACUUUCCGAAAGAUUUAACCCUGUAGGGGUGCUCCAAACUAGUCCAUCACAAAUUACCACAAGCCGCAUAGAAAUCCUCAAUCACGAAGCUCGCGANNNNNNNNNNAGCAACUCACGAAAGAGACAAUCACGGUUACGCACACAGUUGGCAUAUUUUAAUUAAGUUAACUUCAAGUUAUCUAGAACCAGUGUUAAACAAAGUUUCCACGUUGCCACAUAACCGCGGGCACGGCUUUCUUAAAGAUUUAACCCUGCAGGGAUGCUCCAAACUAGUCCAUGACAAAUUACCACAAGCCGCAUAGAAAUCCUCAAUCACGAAGCUCGCGAUCUCGUCGGAUUCCCUAGUGGAAAACCUCAACUCUGAGAUUACCCAAAGCAUCACUGGAAUCCCGAUGCACAAGAUAUCUCGUCAAAGGUAAAACUAAUCCAGCAAGGCCGCCCGACGUGUCCACGAUCCCGAUAGGAGUCGCGUACCUCGUUCUCAGGACACGGCGGAUGAGCUAGACGUCGGGAUCGCUAAACCUCCGGGUGACCAGAGGGGCGCCGGACAUCGCUCAGGUGGGGCCAACACUCAUGAGGAGCACUGGCCCGGGGGUUGAUUAAAUUAUCCUCGAGGUCCGGAAAGUCCCUAUGCAAAUUUUAUUAGGUGUUUAGGCAAAUGUAGUACCAAAGUUGGGCCUUGUCAGACCAGCUUUAAUCUAAAACGAAUUAUCAAGGGGGUCCCCAUAACAACCCCGAUCGUGUUAGGAGUGCUCAUUUAUGGAACAUAACACCGGUAGCCGGAAACUAAGGGGGCAAANNNNNNNNNNGAGUUGGGCCUUGCCAGACCAGCUUUAAUCUAAAACGAAUUAUCAAAGGGGUCCCCAUAACAACCCCGAUCGUGUUAGGAGCGCUCAUUUAUGGAACAUAACACCGGUAGCCGGAAACUAAGGGGGCAAAGGUGGAACAAAACACCGGGCUAGAAAAGGCCGAGCCUUCCACCUUUUACCAAGUAUAUAGGUGCAUUAAAUUAAAUAGCAUUAAUAUGGUGAUAUGACAAGGGACCCAUGUUAUUACAUGGAAGCAACUGCACCUGCAACUAGCAACGCUAACAACAUGGUUAAGCAAGCAGUAACAUAGNNNNNNNNNNNNNNNNNNNNNNNNNNNNNNNNNNNNNNNNNNNNNNNNNNNNNNNNNNNNNNNNNNNNNNNNNNNNNNNNNNNNNNNNNNNNNNNNNNNNNNNNNNNNNNNNNNNNNNNNNNNNNNNNNNNNNNNNNNNNNNNNNNNNNNNNNNNNNNNNNNNNNNNNNNNNNNNNNNNNNNNNNNNNNNNNGCGAGAGAAGCGAUAAAACUAGCAUGGCAAUGAUAGUAAUGGUAUCUGGGGAAAUGGUCAUCUUGCCUGAGAUCCCGCUAAGAAGAAGAAUGACUCCGUGAAGCAAACGAACCAACGUAGUCGAACGGUCCUCACAUCCGACACGCUUGUGGAACUCUAUCGAGACGGAGGGAAACGGAAACAAGCAUCAACACACGAUAUUCACCACAUGAUGCAAGACACAUAUGAUGCAUGAACGGUCUAAUGCAAGGCAUGACAAUCAGAACAAUCAAACACUACACAUUAAGUGAAGCUCGAUAUGCAACGAGUUGCGUAUCGACAAAACUCCACAUCUAAUUAUUUAGUUCACUCCCGUUCAGUUACACGGCUAUAUUAAAAGGAUGUUAACAUGGCAAGGGGGUGAAGCACAAAUUAAUCUAUCUAUCCAGGCAUUUUAAAUGAGGCCGGAAAUGACAUAUAGCAUCUCCGAAAUGACCCCACGUGUUAAAUUCUAAUUCUGCCCAGAUUUGUCCUAAUCACAUUUUAUGUUUGUUAAACGGCAAAAUAAAGUGGAUCACAUGAUUCUACUCGUCGUUCUGGUCCAUUUACAUAUAUGUCACAUCUCCAACGGAGCUACGGUUAAAUAGUUACGACCUAAACCGUCUUAACACGGCACGACACGCAAACGAGGUAAACAGCAAGGUUAAAAGCUUUUAUCAUGCAUGAGAGUUGAAAAUUAUUAACCUACGUAAAAUUCUACACGUUCUAAAUAUAUGACUUGUUGCGAUCCGACGCACGGUUUAAAAGAUACGGCAUUUUAAAAAUCAUGCUAUUUUUCUGAAAUUAGCAAAGGAACCUGGAAAUGAAAAAAAAAAUAAGAAUCACAAGACGUAAAAAAAUCUACAAAAGGCUGAAUUGCACCAUAGUGCGGCAGCCCAAGNNNNNNNNNNAAAAACCUCGAAAUGAAGAAAAAAAAUUAGAAUCGAAGACGUAAAAAAAAAUCUACAAAAGGCUGAAUUGCACCAUAGUGCGGCAGCCCAAGAUUGGUUCAGGCCCAGGUGGCCAUGUAUGCAUGAUUUAAGGGGGGGAAAUGAACUUACGCAUGGGGAAAAUAAAAUAGGGCUCCCUGGGAUUCGAUCCCCUAGUCGCGUGGAUCGCCUAGCAUGGCGCUGACCACUAGGCUAGAGCAUGUAUCGUGGCCAAAGUGUGGCUAUGAGCAAAGUGUAGCGCGUAGGAAAUAAAUUUAAAGGCGCUGACCACUAGGCUAGAGCCUGUAUCGUGGCCAAAGUGUGGCUAUGAGCAAAGUGUAGCGCGUAGGAAAUAAAUUUAAAAUACAACACCCAAAAUUUGGGUUGCCUGGGAUUCGAACCCAGGAUCCCUUGCGCUAAGGUUGGCUACGCUUGCCAACUCGGCUACUAGUCUGCUUGUGGCGGAGAACAGUAGCUACGCUAUAACAAGUUAACAUGGCAGAACGGAUCUAGGAUAAGAAAACUGAAUCUCACAUCUGAUGGGAACUGCCUACAGCGGGUAACAGAGGAGGCAGCCAUGGCGCGGGGGAGUUUUCUCCAGCCCGAUCCUGCGCGGCUCCUCGCGGUAGGGAUGGGCGGAUCCGUUCCUCGAGGCACCACAUCCGGCCGGUGGCGGAGCUCCAUGGCGCGACGGGCUCCUUCCCAUAGACGUGGUUGUUCCGUGCCAAACGAGAAGAGGAAGAGAACCAUGGUGAGAGAGAGAGAGAGAGAGAGAGAGAGAGAGAGAGAGACGGACAGAGGAAGAAGAGGGAGCGCAUGAGGGUAGAGACAACAGAGGCGGGAGGAACGAAGUUGGUCCUGCGGAUCCGCGGGGAUGCGUCAGACAGGAGGCGGCUCAUCCGCUCGCGACGAGCUCCUGCUCGUACACGAUCAUGGAGGAAGGAGUGCCUCCGGCCUGCAGAUUCUUAGGGCCGCCGGAUAGCUGUUGCUGCUGCUGCUGCUUGGAAGCCUGCAUCGGGUGCUUGUGGGAGGAGGAGCAAGGCACGGAAGAGCUCGGGGAAGCAGCGGCUUGCUGGCGCACGGACGCGUCCGGCGGCCCUGCUCACCUGAAGGAGGAGGUUGACGUGGCGCGGGAGCUUCGAGCUCGGUCAUGGAGGUCAACCACGGGGCUGNNNNNNNNNNNNNNNNNNNNNNNNNNNNNNNNNNNNNNNNNNNNNNNNNNNNNNNNNNNNNNNNNNNNNNNNNNNNNNNNNNNNNNNNNNNNNNNNNNNNAUCAAUGCUCUUGGAGUUUGUUACCGAGUGUAAUAUGGAAUACAAUGAUUUUCUAACCCCUUUACCAGUGGGGAAGGGCGGCUUAUAUAGAGUGCGCUGCCCUCCACAACGGUUCUGAUUCAGGGGCGGAGUAGUGGCGAUUGAAUGCAUACGUUANNNNNNNNNNGGCAAAGUCCUAGCUACGGCGAGGUUGUAUGAGUUCAGGCCCCUCUGCGGUGGAGGUAACAGCCCUACGUCUCAGUGCUCUCGGAGUUUGUUACCGAGUGUAAUAUGGAAUACAAUGAUUUGCUAACCCCUUUACCAGUGGGGAAGGGCGGCUUAUAUAGAGUGCGCUGCNNNNNNNNNNUAGGUAACGCACGCUCUAAAUGCUAAUAAAUGCACCCGAAAACGUACGACCGUUUCCCUCCAGGGAGGUUACGAUGUACCGAGUGUAUCCAGUCGGUUAGCUUGGUAACCUCCGAAUGCUAGUAUCCGACUGGAUGAUACAGGACCUGUUGCCGACUGGAUGAUGGGGAUUCCUUAAUCCAGUCGGGGUAGACUUAGGGUCUUGUCCUUUNNNNNNNNNNCAGGUAACGUACGCUCUAAAUGCUAAUAAAUGCACCCGGAAACGUACGACCGUUUCCCUCCAGGGAGGUUACGAUGUACUGAGUGUAUCCAGUCGGUUAGCUUGGUAACCUCCGAAUGCUAGUAUCCGNNNNNNNNNNNNNNNNNNNNNNNNNNNNNNNNNNNNNNNNNNNNNNNNNNNNNNNNNNNNNNNNNNNNNNNNNNNNNNNNNNNNNNNNNNNNNNNNNNNNCCACUGUGCUGGAAAGUGGGCUUCAGCGCCGUACACAAACUGCCUUUCGUAAGGGUAUGGGUGCCUCUCUGGUGUUGCCUGGUAGAAGCUCUUCUCGGGGAAGCUGGUGACACGGGGUGCAUAGAGCGACCCGUUGGCACGCGGCCUCUUGGACUGUGGCUUGGCGGCUUCAACAGCCCUCCUCUUGUCCGCCUUAGCCUUCUCCAACUGAAUCACCCUUUUCUGGAGUGGAUCCACGGGAUAUUGCUCCUCCAGUUUGUGCUCCUCGAUGCACUUGAUGACAGCUUUCAGUGCAGACAGCUCACGCUCAUUCAUCUCAUUCUGAAAAGGGAAUGGCUGUUAUCCAAUAUAUUAUAUCAAGUGUAACUAGAUAAAUGAAGAUAACAUGCUUACACACAUAUGCCGACAUGAAAAAGCCAAUGGGCAACACAACUGCUCUAGAAAGUUUAUAUAUACUAUUCAGGGCCACACAGCGAAAAACAACAGGCGACUAACUUUAUAUUGCUUGCAAGCUAAGAUGUCCCUCUAUUAUUCUACUUCUCCACAACCUACCUCAAGCUCCUGGCAUCAGGUGAAUGGACAACUUUCACCUCUGUGCGUCAUCAAAUCCAAUACUGAUCUACUUAAGUACUACUAUAAGUAACCUAUUAAUAGAAUUUUGAACCACUACACCACUAAUAACUGCAAACAGUCAAGGAGCUUCCCCCGACACUCUGAACCAUAAAAGUUAGUUAGUAUCAAUAGAUAUCUGGUAAUAGUAGCGCGAAAAGUGGAAGUGGCUUAGUCUCAUCAUAGAACAAUUAGACAAGAUGAAAACAAAGCCCUUCCACGAACACACACACAAAAAAAAAACUGAACAGUAUCUGGGUAUCACAGCUAUUUAAAAAUAUCCUGAGUAACAUAGCAUGAUGGGCAAGCAACUUUGGUUAGUAGCAGAAUGGUUAAUCAAACUUCAAAAGGAAGAUAACACAAAAAAACAACUGGUGUCCACUUCAGUAAUUGGUAAUUUGGUGGAAGUGCAGGCCCAGUUUAUUGUAUUCUACUAUUCAUGCAGCAAAAAAUAUGCAUGAUAGACAUCAUAUGCUUUUGCUGAAAUAGCUAGAAGCACACCUGUGCUCCGGGAGACAUUUUUCCGUUCUUGCCAUGUGACACCUUCUUGACCUCCCUCAGAUAUGCUUUCAGCAAUUGCACUGGCUCAAACUGUUCAGUGAGCCCAAAUGCGUAGGCCAAGUUAAUUGCAUCAAUUGGUCUUGCACUAUCCACCAGAACUCCAAUGACACCUGUCCUCAAGAAACACCAUAAGUGAAUCAAUUAUUGUCAAGAGAAAAAUCAGCAUGCAUGAGAAAAGGCAAAUAGCAUAGCAGACAUAGAAAAUCCCUAAGAAAAUGAACAAUUAAGACAAGGGCUCAGAGGGCAUGGCAAACAAAUGCUGAUCUUAUCAAACAGAUGAAAGAGUAGACGGAAUGUUUGCAGUUUGCACAACAUACAUUUACUAAUCAAAUACAUAAAUAUGAUACAGAAAUGCUUCAGGGUACAUAAUCUGUAAGACAGUCCAACAACAGCAGGUAUCCGUUGUGUGUGGAGGUGGGUGGGUUUUGGGGGGGAGGCUUGUGAUUCAGUGGUACUUACACAACAUAUGCACCACAACCACACAUUAGACAAAACAGAACAGAAAUUAUGGAGAGUAAUUUUUCAGAUCAAUUAUUCAAGAAUAUGGGCAUGCUUUACAAGCAGUAGUGCAAGCAAAGAAAAGAUUAACGGGUUAAGAUGUAGCUGAUGUGCAUUGCCUGUAAGUUGUUGUAACAGCAAAAGUAGCAAUUACGGGAAUCUGAAAGAACUUCUGGAGGUGCUAGUACAAGAAACCAUUAUGCUUUUGAGUUUGCACAUAUGUUCAGUGAACUCAGGACCAGCAAAUAUGUUAGACAAGUUGGAAAACUAAGAUUUAUCCAAGUGAAAACAACAUUCAAUUAGCAUUUGAACUGGCAUGACGAAACAGUAUCAUUAAUUCAUCAUCAUAAACAAUGUUUAUUGGCGAUAGAUGCAUGAUUAGUUCAUCAUUGCACUGACCUGGCAUCUUCUGUGACAACCCAAGCAGUCGGCAAAGCUCAGGUGUUUGACGACGUCGACUAACAGAAGGAAGUAGUUUGCAAAGUUCAUCUUCAUUAAAUUCAGAAAAAAUACCGAAGGUAGCAAGCAGUUGAAGAAAUGCAUGUGCUUCCAGGCAGUUUCCAUUGCUAGCAUCAAUGUCAAGACUGUCCAACUUGGACUUCCAUUCAAAUGCAAUCUUUUUGGCCCGAUCUUUGACAUUUGUUGCAAACAUUUGCCCCUCAGACAACAAGCCGGUUAUGUCAUCAGCUUGCAGCUGUACAAGAGACUCCAUCAGCAUAAGGCACGUCCUUCUUACACCCAGAAGGUCUCCAUCCUUUUUCCCAUCCAACACCAGAUUAUCUCCAGAAUAGAAGUCCUCCAAGGAAUCCAACACCAGGACAUAUGGUUGCGAUGCUCCCUUGAGUGCACUCGGGAUUUCCUCACGAAUAGACGUCAAGUUCUUUCUGUUGUCUGAUAUGAACUUAUGAAGCCCUUUAACAUUCAUCUCCUCGCAGAGAAUGGCAAGUUCAGAACGAGGCUUCACAGCAGCAUUGCCAUCUUGCAAUCGUGCAUUUCCUUCGGGAGAAUGCUUCGGCCACUUCACAUCAAGAGUACCCACAGUAUAAUUACCCUGUGGCUUAUUCAUUGGGGUGAUAUAAUUAGUGUUUAGCGACAGCUUGGACUUGCCAAAGAUCAUAGCUAAUGCAGCAUCUCUUUUCUCUUGCAGCCUUUCCAGAGAAGUCAGCUCCUUAGCCACCACAACAGCCUCCUGCUGCUCCAGCAUCUUCUCCGAUUUUGCGACUGUCUCCUGGAACUCCUUCUCCUGCUUUUUCAGCUCAUCAAACUUUUUCUUGAGCGACUGCUCAAGGCCACGGAAAUGGUCCUCGAGUUGCUUCCACUUGAAGUUCAUGGUAACAGCACUCUGGCUCUCAAGUUCAGCAAAUGCUUGCUGAAGCUGCUGUAUCUUCAAGCUUGUGGACUCCAUAAGGGUAGCCACGGACUCCAUGUCAGACAUGGUGACAGACUCUGCAUGG